GGUGCUGAAAGCCUACAAAUACUUACUGAAACUAGCCAAGCUACUAUUGAGGAAGGAAAGAAAGCCAGUUAGUGCAGAGGCUACAAUUGACAAGCUUAAGGAGUAAUGUUGCCCGGAAAGCAGGAUUCCAGUCUCGUUGACUCGGCAGGGAGGAAAGUGAAAGUUCUCUUAGUGCUACAGAAUUGACUACCUCCCGGAAAGCUUAUCUCAAGGCGACAUCCCGGCCAAGCAGACAGCCAGCCAAGAUCCUUCAAUACCAGAUGCGUAAGAUUUGUGAUAUGCGUAAGAUGGGUGAUACGGGUGGUUCCUCUCCUUCAAUGCUUCAAUGAAUAGAUAUAACGGCCAAGCUUAGGAUAGACAAGACACGCAGACAAGUAACUACUCCAUUCCCUCACUGCGGUUGUUACUUUAGCGUAACAUUAUAAGUGUCUUGGCGGGGAUUCAACCAGAACGGGAUCAGGAGCAGUACUAAAGGGAUGGGAUUCCACUCGCCCAGCAGAGCCAGCAGGGUUCAAUGAAUUGUAAACAUUGACUAAGAGAGCUUAGUUACUUAUGGUAAAAGGAAUGAGACCUUCUAAGCCCCAUAACUGCCACUACUGCUAUACCCAAACCAUACCCGAAACUAAGCUUUGGCACUAAGAAUAAGGGAACGAAUAAAGGAACUCUGCCUCUUGCUCUACAACAGUUGUUACCGAGUCCUUUGUUUGGGUUAGUGACUUAUUAACAGCAGUGAAAUCUCAAUAGGGAACUUCACCUUACCCAGUAGCAGUGAAAUCUCCAGCUCGGAAAGCACUCUCCAUUAAGUGGUAAAGAGAAAGGGUUGAUACAAUGCAAUCGGUAACUAUUUCUUUGAUACCUGAAUUCGGCUACUAUACUCUGGUUCCUUGAUACUCUCUCUGCUCUAGCUGUUAGUAACGAGUCCUGUGUGAGCCUGUCCGGUAAGAACUAGUUCGGUUUACAAGGGUUUCGUCAAAGUGGUAUUUACUACUUGUUUAUAGACUUACCCAUCACCUGCAGGCUCUGGCUCUGUGAACUCGGUGGGCAAGGGGCCAAGCAACUUCUAAUGACCAAGCAACGGCGAAAGACGUUGGGCGGUAGCCAAUAAACAGUUCUUACGAAGUUAUUACAAUAUAUGCCUUCGGCGGCAGGAGCCCCGGUAAUAUUAGUGGAAUUCUGGGACGAGUGAGAAGAAGACCGCUACUUAGCUACCCGGCUGCAUUCUGGUUAGCACUAGUUUCAGUAUGUGGCUAGUUAGUGUCAUUCUUAUCUACUACCCUGGAUGCUCUGAUCCACUACCCUAGAUGCUUGGCCCUUUGACAAUAGGUGGUUUAAUAACAUUCUUAUGGAUUAACUCGUUGAUGAAUGGAGGGCCCACUUUACGACGAGAAAGAAUUUGUACUCUAUAAAGCGAUAUUGAGCUGUAGUUAUCAAGUGGUCGUGUACUGUGUCUAUAGGAGAAUCUUUUAUCAACAUUUCUUUGACUACACUCAUUGCGGGCAUCCCUAUAACAUUUCUUUGCCUACACUCAUUGCGGGCAUCCCUCUCGGUCGAUAUUUCAGUAUUCCUAUAUACCCUACAAAAGAUGAAGUCUAUCAUAAACCCGGACUCCAUUAUCAUCUCGUCCUGUACCGUGGUCAAGUUAGGGACUCUCUCGAAAACUGGGUGAUCCCUAGCUGAUGCGAUCCAGCCGAGAUGGCGGAUCAACCGGAUCUUUCAUUCCAUGCCUUAUCUUUCGUUUUACAGAACUUCUAGCACUCGAAGCAUUCUCCUUAUGAUGAGAGAGAUGGUCUUGUUAGAAGGCGAGUAGUCCCUCUUGGAUCUUCUUCCUGCCAUUAGCUAAGAGACAGCUGGAUCGGACCUCUAUCUCGGACUUCCUGAAUUCAUGCUGGUUACAAAGAGAAAUCCACUCGCGGAAUCAGGACCUUGGCCAAAGAUGGAGUAAUAGGUUUCCGGGUAUGUGAGAACUUGUCGUCUUUGUCAGCAGGACCGUCGUGGAGCGGGUUGGAGCCAUUGCCUAUACAACAUCAAAAAGCUUCCAUCGCCCCGGAGAGACUUAGCUUAAUCUGGACGUCUUCCCAUUUCCAUUAAUUCCUUGACUUGUAACGAUAGUUCCUUUAAGACCAGUAUAGGGCUUUCAGGCGCCUGAUCUUAAUGAUAGGUGCGGUGCCGAGUGAAAGGCAAAAGUCAAGAUUACGUGCACCCAUGUCAAAGGUAACCGAGUCAUCGGAAAGGAAAAGGGAAUAGGUGGUUUUGCGCAUCCAAGGAUAAGGGUUUUGUUGCUUAAUAGCGGAUUCGUAGGUUACUAAAAAGAAAGUGGGAUUGGAAAUGGAACUCUCGACCUGACCUGGGGCGGAUAGGAAUUUCGACUUUCAAUGGAAUCAUUGGCUGGAUCGAGAUUAGAGCCCUUUCAUGAGUUUGAGCCCAGAGAGAUACCAAACUAACUGGACCUACUCCAUACACUUUUGGAAAAGUAGGAGCUUGUUAGUUAGUAUUUAUAGUAUGCUGUGGUUAGUGACUUAAUUGUAUCAUAUGCAACCUAAGCUAACGCUGACUUUUCUGUUGUUGCACUGGGCAAUAAUAAAGUAAAGGUGCUUGGCUUUCCCUUCCUUGACCUGACCGCAGGGUUUUUACUGAAUUCUAUUAGAUGAGCGCUCUCUUCAACAAGCAAGGGAACAAGUGAGUUUGUCGGCGCAAGAACAAGUGUAUGAGUGACAGAAGCCCUUUAACGAGGUGAGUUAACCGGCGCAAGAACAAGUGUAUGAGUGACAGAAGCCUUUUCUCGAGUGCUUUUCGACCUUGUAGUUUCAGAGUAGAGUUCCAGAAGUGCUUGUGUGCCAACCGUCCUUUGAAAUGAGUAAACGUUCUUUCUUCAUUGUCAAUAGUGCCCUUUCAGAUGUGUGGUGGGAGACCCGAUCUUAGAUCCUAAAUGGAGUCUCGUUGCAGGAAUGGGAUAAAUAAAGAAAUACUAUUACUGAUUUCAAUGAGAGUGGGAAGGAAGAGAGCAAGGAAGAGGCAUUCUGUUCUAUACUUUAGAGUGAGAAUCCUGGAGAAGAAGAGAAAAUCAUAUAAUCGAUUCUAUAUCCUCCAUAAAAGAAGGAGCUGUUAGUUAACUUAUGUAUGACUGACUUUAUCCAUUUUCAUGUAAUUCUCCAAUCUAUUUCUCUUACCAGCAAGCGGGAACGAAAGAAUAAGCAAUUGGGGGGCAGUAUGGAACUUGAUUCAAUAAUAAGAUAUAAGGCCCAAUGAAACAAACUAACUAACUAUGUUUUGAUUCGGAGGAUUGGGAAGUCAAUAAGAUAAAGUAUAGUAAGGCUUAUGAAUUACAGUACUUGGUGCAGGGAUAUAAUACCCCGUAUAUCAUGAGGCAAGAGAGAUAGAACUUUCUCAUUGCCGAGAGGUUUACUUCAGACUUCGAAGCCUCUAUUUCGGGUGCUUGCUUGAAACCCGGCCCGGCCCUGACUCUUUUUGUUUCCUAUCAAGAACCACUUCCCUUAGGCAACUCCAUUUACUGACUUACUAUUUCUCUAUCUCCAUAUGCCUCUGUCUAUCUUCCGACUAUUUCUCUAUCUCCAUAUGCCUCUGUCUAUCUUCCCCUUUUCCACGGGCUGGCUAAUCGAGUGAGUGCUUUUUGUGCAGAAAGAGUUAGGUAAGAAGGAAAGUUCUCAGAUACAGCAAUGCUUCUCUCUGGGAAAAAAACACUUGAUGAGGCUUCCUUACCAGAAGAGAAAGAGAAAGGAGAUGGACUGAUUCUAUGGUAGUGUUUAUUGCUUUCAACCUCCUCAAUUUCCUUCUCUCGUAUGCCAUCUGAGGACCUUGAUCCCCACUAUAGUAGCCCGAGUAAGAAAGUCCAAAUAUUCAAAUAAUGGAAAAACGCGAAGUUGACAGUUCUCUUUUUGCUAGAUUGACCUGACUUCAUUCGUGAAAAUCCGAACCUAUUGUAUUCCUGGCUGGAUCAGACCUCUAUGGGCCGAGCUCGUUCUUUCAUUUUAGGGAUUUUCUUAAAGGAAAGAGAAUUCUCUGGAUUGGAAAGUGCCCCCAGGUACGUAGACCUCGAUCCAAGCCCUUUUGUUACGUUAAUGGGAUAUCUGCUUUGGCAUUUCCCAAGUUCCGUUCUUCUAAAGCUUUGAUUCUUGAAACCUUAUUUCUUUGAUUUCCUUUGGAGCGGUAGAGAAAAAGAAGUAGACUCUCGUUAACUAAUUCGAAAAAGCAUGCUUAGAAACGUCUCUCUUUUGGAGGGUUGGAAGAAUCUAAUAUGAACAUGGAUUUCUAGUCCUUAAGUGUUGUAUAUUUUAUGGUUCUUUUUAUAUGAAAGCGGAUUGGAGACUUGACCGCGUUAAGCUAGCCCUCCGAACCGCUCUCGCUCGAUCAUUUGAAUAGGGGAAGUCAUCAGCUAAAAAAACUCCUGCAAGCCGCCCACUAAGUAAGAGCUCUGGCAAAUCAUUGAAUAGGAGUGUUGGAAAGCACUCAACUCAAACCUGCGCAGGAACAAGUAUAGUUGAGAGAGGUCGGGCCGGGUGUUAGUGUUUAAGUAGAGUUAUUGUGCGAAGAAAAUCCAGUAUAGGGUCGAAUGGCCUGAGUGUCCCGCUGCUUAGCCUUGUGAAACUGAUUGUACUGCUGGAGCAAUUGUGAAACUGAUUGUACUGCUGGAGCAAGUAGGUUCGAUAGGUGGGGUAUAUUUCCGAGUGGAGAUAGGUUGGGGAAGAAGAAAGUGUAUAUCCUAUAGAAGCAGGACUAUAAGCAAGAUCCGAAAGAGUUCAUUCCGUUUCUGUCGAGGUCCAGUCUCAAGUCGAGUCACAGUUCAAGUCAGAGUGAAGUCGACAACUUAAGAAGCAGUUUCAAGAGACGGAUCAGGCUCAGAACGGAAAGUCGAAGGUUGAGACAGAAUCUAAUCUAAAGUAAGCUGUUAUAGCAGUUGAAACAGAGGAAGCAGUGGUCUUUACCCGCAAUUAAUAAGUUAGCAAGUCCUUUUGAUUAGGCUAAGGCGUCAGUUAAUGAUUUUCCUGGUUGGUUGACCCGGGUUGGUUGGUUUACCCGGCACUUUUCAUCGUAUUUAGAAAGAAGCUCUGCUGAGGUGCUCUAGCUCUAAGUCUACGAGAUAAGAAACAAGUUGGUAUAGAACCAGAAUAAGGAACAGUGGAAUAAGUAUCUUCAGCAAUAGAUGGGGCAAGUCUUGUUGAGGUCGAGGUGAAAGUCAGAGUAUAAAGUAGGCGGGAAGUUGUUAAUUGUUCAAGAAAACAGUAGAUGUAGGAUUCCUUAUAAGGCCUUGAUCCAGGUCUGAUAGCUAGAAGAUGGAUAACCACCGAUUUGAUAAGAAAGUAACAACACAGCGAUACUUACAUGUUGAUGGAAGAAAGUAACCGAACAGCGAUACUUACAUGUUGAACAAAUUGCUUCUCAACUCACUACUGACUUAUGGAACUUGAAUGAAUUGGGGCUGACUGACCUUUUAGGUAUCGAAUUAUUGCGCAUGUCGUUUGUUGCUAGCGUUACUAAUGAUGUUUCUAUAGCUUAUUUCCUAGUAGCUCUGUUAGCGAGUUUGGCACUGCUUACAAUUAUUCCGCUUCCUAUGUGGGUGGUUCAUUGAUGUGUUGAAGCAGCGCUAUAGGAUGCUUGAGUUUGCUAGCUAACGGGUUAACCCAAUUUCCAUGAAGGCACUUUCUUUGGUCGAGAGAGAUCAACUCUACUGUCUUUUGAUUCUCGUUAUGUAAGCCUUAACCACGCAGUCUAUAGAUAGAGUUGGGACAGGCAAUACUUAACUACACUUUCCUUUCGAACUGCAAUGGAAUCUUUGGACCACCAAUAAUAGAGUAAUUAAUAACACUGUUUCUUUUCUUAUAAGCUAGUCCUCUUAUUCUCUUGCCGACCUUACCUCUACAUGAAGUUCAUAAUUGGAUUUGAUCUCUCUUGUACAUGGUAUAGCAUUUGAGUGUAAAGAUACGGAACUUGUCCUUGUUUGUUGCGCUAACGGAGCUGACGGUUAUGCAUUAGCUUACUUUCCAGGGUGUCAAUAUUCAUGAGAUAGUUUUUGAGUGUUGUAGAGUUUCGCAGUGUGGUUAGAUAGAGCAUGAGCUGGAUCUGAAUUAGGAUAUUAAGCAUAAGAGGGAGCAGGAGUAGUGUGCGAAUCCCUUAAUGGAUAAAGUAAUGCAAUCAAACAAACAUGUGAACAAAACUCACUAGCAAACUCGGUAAUGUAAGCUUAUUCUCGGGAUGCGUUAGUGAGCUCGGGCUCGGGGCUAAUACUUAGCUUCUUUUCCGGAACUUGACUUUCCGUGGGCAGCGGAUUCUCGAGUGGACUUGAAUUGAUUUGCUGCUGACUUUAUACUCUUACUUUUCACUACUUAUGCUGACUUACUUUAUGCUGCUGAUUAAGAUUAUGCUGAUUACUCUUAUUCUCUAAUUACAAUAAUCAUAUUAUAUACGAUCGAUUGCCCUUACUUAUUAAGGCUUGCCCGAACUACACUACAUUGCCAACACAACACCGAUUUGCUUCCCGUAUCAAGCAUCUGAUAUUCUCAUUUCGGAAUGGAAUGAAAGCUUACGGAGUUUUGCUUCAUCUAGCGUUAGGCGAGUUCCAGUUAUUUGUUCGAGUCGAUACUCUUACUCUAGAUGAGGUCAAUUCGAAUCCUCGGACACUACAUCACGGGCUCUUUACAGAAAGAGUGGCCCAUAGCAAUAGCUUUUAGGGAUUCUCGAUCCUCUAAAGUCCGCCUUUUUCGAGAUGUACGGAAAAGGAUCCCCUGGCUUUCUUAAUAGCUUCUUAUUAACUUGCCCUAGUUUCAAUACUCCUUUACUAGUUUCGACUGGCUUUCCUUUCUCAAGUCCCCACGGCAAAUAAUACAACGUUAUCGAAAGCUUCAUUUUCCAGGAAAGGAUGGCUUCAUUUAGGUGUUAAUCUAACUCAGCUCAAUCUAUUCGCUCACUUAGGAAUAAAUGACUUUAACUCGAUGUAUUUCCCUUGCUUGCUUUACGAAACUAGAUUUCACGGAACUAGCAAGAGUGCGAGUAUAAGAGGCCCUUUCAAUAAACCCUUUCAGUAUUACCUACUCUCGAUAGAAACUCUUUUCUCGCCUACCCUUCGCCACGUCAACAGGAUCACUGGGUACUCCAACAAAGGCUGGCAAGCACUUUCACAAUGGAUAUGAUUAUUUUGGCACAAAGCUUAUUAGAGUAUUCUUCCAAAGCAUGUUCUAUAAAGCAUGUUCCUUCUAUAAAGCAUGGAUAGCCGGAAACUAGCAAUAUUACAAGAGAGAAAAGCCACUCUAUCUGAAUCGAAGGUGCUUGCAACUUCACUUACGAGGGACAAACAAACUUGAUGGUAUCUUGUGUCAAUGGUAGCUGGAUGGCCCAGUUAAAGCUCUCCGCAAUCAGAAUAUCCGGCAUUCUUUCUAUCAGCCUCCGAUAAUGGGCAUUGAGCUUGAGAAAAUGUGGAUAACCUGCCUAUAAAGAAAGGUGCUGCAAGCCUUAGAAACGAAAGAAAUUGAUACCAUCGAUAUAGUCUUCGAUUCAACUCGAAAGAAAGUCGAACCUAGAAAAACGAGAGAGAUAUUUGCUAAUCAGGCUCCCCUCCAGGGGUCUCGGGAUAGCAUAGCAAGUGAAAAAGCUGGGAAAAAGCCCAUUUUGGAUGAGGACGUGUGUGGUCGCUGAAAGCCACUACUAUUCCUGAAGUAACGGAGUUCUGAGAACAAGAGGGAUGUGGUGACUAGCCAAGUGGAAUAUGUCAGGCACUCUCCCAGUUAAUUGAUUAGAGCAGGUUGGAAAAGCGUUACUUAAUUGUUUGAAAACUAGAUACAUUCUAGGCUCUUACGUGAAGAUCACUUACCAGCUCUCUAUUGACUUGACUCUAAUAGCCAUAACUAUUCUAGCCUUACUGGCGGAGUUAGGUUCUCUGAUGAGUCUCCCCUUCUUCCGGUUGCUGCCGAAGUAUAUGCUCCGCUUUGGUUAAUAUCCUUGUGCUAUAGCUAUCUUUGCUUACAAUUUGACCGAUAUAAAAGGCGCUUCAUUAAUCUAUCCCUCCCUAAACUAGCUGUUUAGCAUCUUCAAGCUUGGGAAAGAGUGCUCAGAGUAUAUCGGCUAUGUGCUGCCUAUGUUGACUUGGAGGUCCUAAGCACGUAUCUAUCUCUCUUCCUCUCUUCGCUUUGGACUUAAUAGAUUGAAACCCGUUUUUGGAGUGCAAAAUGCCUUUGCUUUGUUUUACCCCUGUCUUUCUUUCUUAUUAAGAGUUUCGUUAUUUGUUUCUUCCCUAUAUAUAUAAGAGUUUCGUUAUUUCUUUCUUUCCUAUAUAUAUAAGAGUUUAUUAGUUAUUUGUUUCUUCUUUUUCUUUCUUAUAUAUAUAAGAGUUUCUUUCUUUCUGAUUUUGCACUUCACUUCUUAUUUGUGUUUGUGUUAGUUUUUCGAAAAACCUUUGCCGAGGAGCUCAUAUAGCGCCAAACAUAAGUCUAAAGGAGAUCGAUAGGGUCCACGGCUCGCUCUUUAGAGAGGAAACACUAAAUGGGAGCCGAUGGCAUUACAUUGACAUGAUUUACAAACGGAGCUGGAACUCGAGGUAGAGGAAAAGGGGGGCAAGGAGGAUGACUUUCUUAUAUAUUUUCGAAUUCGAGAUGAGGGAUGAGCGAGACGCUUGUGCCAAUAACACAUUGGAUGGGAGCCUUCUCUUCUCUGGCUAAAGGUUUUGCCGCGGGAACUCGCACAGAGGCCUUAAACUAAUCAACAUCAUCCUUAUUCGGGCCUCCAUGUAGAAAUCAACCUCGUACGCUGAUCCUUCACCCCCCAAUUCGAUGGGAAAAAGGAAAUGGAAAGUGUCUUGCAGAACAGAGAAACGGAGAAUUUCUUCUUUGUUAAUAGAUGGAACACUAAUAGAGGUUUUUUGAUCUAACAUGUGUUAUACCCAAACCGGAUCCAUCACCUAGAACGAUCUCAUCAGGCCCUUUCAUACUCAUAGUUCAGAGAGAGAUUGCUUAAGUCACUGGUAACACUCUUAGAGGCAGCCGAGUAAACAAGCCAUCCUUUCUUGAUGGGGGGAGAGGACGACGCACAGUUGGCUACAGGAUCCUUAGUUUGGUGGUGCGCGAGGACAUUUUCCGGCGGUGUGGCCGGCUCUUCCAGGUCAUUAGUUUUAGUUGUUAGUUUACACACUCUUUUUUCACCUUGGGCUUUCUGUCCAUUUCGGUUAUUGCUCUAUUUGUUUGCUUGAUUGUUAUUGCUGAGCGAGUGUAAUUGGCUGUUGCUAUGGAUACAUCACUACCAGCUUCUUUUCUUAUAAGAGACCCCUCAUAUGCCACCAGCUUCUUACCCCUCAUAUGCCACCAGCUUCUCAUGCAACUCCUCAAAGGUUAUGGGAUUUUCUCGUGCACGAACCAGCAAUCUCCUUUCACUCUGACCAUUCUUAGCAUUCAUAACGAUAUCGUCCUCAGCCAAUGGUGCAUCAAUGAUGGCUAACUCAUCUUAGAUAGUAUUUCUCUGUUGUGCAAGUCUUUUGCCACAGGUUUCGAGUCAUGGCGAGUGAGGGUGAGCCGCUCUUUCUGAUUCAUAACUCUUGAGCGAGAUCUAUUUGCAUAAAGUUUGCCAAGCUUCGUCUAGGCUUCAUGAGAUGUUUUUUCAGAUGCUAUAAGAGGCAUGCCCUAUUCUGAGACUGAUGCAAUGAUAGCAUGCAGCAACAACGGAUCCUGUCGAACCCAAUAGGUGUAGGAUUUGGUGAGACCGAGUGAUUAAAGGGCACCCAUCCUGAACAACGGUCUUUCGAAGGGCAUGGCACAGAGCCAUCAACAAAGCCCAUCAGGUCAUAACCAAGAAAAGCUGCGAGUGGAACUGAGAACGCCAUGAUGGAAAAUUCAUGGGCUUGAGUUUCGUUUCAGAGGUGACUGGGCAGCGGCAUUGAUCGAAAUAAGGGCGCUGCUCGAAGCGAGUCAAGUAUAUGUAUAGACAACCACGUGAGCGGCAGUUGAGUGUUAUUGGAUGCCAUGGGGGGUGCUUUUCUCUCUUGCUCGUUGGAGCGUGAUUGCUCCGUUACCAUGUUCUACAAUCAUGUGCUCCAAAUUCCGCUAUCAUAGGCCUAAUAUUCUAGUGUUGCAUCUAUCGCCUCUGGGCUUUCUUUUCUAUUUCUUUCACAAUGAAAACGUCGUGCAGAUGCUCAGGUGCCUACGGCUGGCUGGUCAAAUAACAGGGAAUCAGAUUAUACAAAAGAGAAACUCCAAUGCAAGAGACAGAAGAGAGAUAAUGGGUUUCUAUGAAUUGGCCUGUCCUACGAAUAGGCGCUGUCCAGAGUUCCACUUUCGGCUUGGAUGGAAUUGCUUAAGGAAAGGCUACUUAUUUCUUCCCUUCCUAUUUCAUUGGAGUGCCUACUCUUGCUCGAAAUUAUGAGAAAACUCCCACCUUGAAGAGAGCUAAAUGAAAACCAACAAUAGGACUGAAUGAAAGCGCCAUCACCCAAGGACGGAACCUUUCCUAUACCAGUACUUAAGCAAGAGACUCUUAUAAGUCCAAUACUGAUCAACGAAUAGAAUGAUUUUGCCGUAUCGGGGGAAGCGCUGAUUCAAAAGACUGAUCUUUCUGACUCAUUUUCUGACAUUGCCUUCUCUUUCUGACAUGAGACUUCUCUUUCUUUCAAAGGGUAACUAGCCUAAGAGUCACUUCCGAAGCGCAACGUAUGGGACGAAAUCCGGCAUUGCUAGCUCUGAAUGAAAUAGAUCCAAUCCACUAUGAAGGCAAUGGGUCUGGUCUGAGAAAAGAUAGGGCCACGCCCCUACUGCCUAUAGAAUGAUUGCCAUUAAACACACUAUAUAUAUGGAUAAAGGAUGGAAUGGAAUGAAAGAAACUCCUACUGCCUAUAGAAUGAUUGCAAUUUCCAUAUAUAUAUCCAUAUGGAUAAAGGAUAGAAUUGAUAGAAACCCCUACUGCCUAUAUUCAAUUGAUAUUCUACUUUGAUGGAUGGAAUUGAUAGAGAAAGAAAGCACCGUCAAGAUCUCGAACGGUUGAGGCGCUUUUUCUUAUCCAUAGAAAACAGAAAAGAACUUCCUUCGCGAGGAGCCUUUGAAUCGAUGCACCGAAGAAAGGAAAGAUCGAGAUGCCCUUUUAUCAACAUCACGGAAUCGUCGAGAAUGAUGAAUUGGCUAUUUGAAAAUAGGAAGAAAACCACAGCAUGUAAGGUUUCGGUCCAUCUUACCAUAUAAGGAAAAGCCCCAGAUACUUGAUCUGAUUCCCACUACUAUUUAUUAGCUUAAGUCACCAGACCUAUCAGACAGGGAUAAUCAUUCUGGUCCUGUCCUCUGGGGGAAUAACUUCUGAGACCUUAGAGCAAGUGUAAAGACCAAUCCAGCAGCAAAGCAAAAUAGCUGCCCCGUUGUCUUACCCGCCAAAAGGAAAAGCAGACAGACCCAUUCGAUGCAAUCCAUGGUAGUUGUGCCUUAGCGAGCUCUUUUGAAAGACAUUGUGCUUACAUAGGAGUUCCCGUCUUCCGCUUACGUAAGAAUUAUGUGAGUUCCCCUGUUUUCGCAGUGCUUGUUAAGUCUUAGAAAGAAUCUGAGGUGAAGUCGUUAACAGCAAUCGGUUCUGUUCCAGUUGCCCUUACUUAUAACGGUUGGUGACUCGAAUCCUAUAAUGAAAGACGGAAUAGAAUGAGAAACUGCUGAAGCAAGGUGUGGUCCAAGUCGAGUUGUGGUGCUAGGAAAGGAGACAUUGAAAACAGAAGAUACUGGAUCAGCACCAAACACUGUUUCAAGAGAAGAAAAGAAGCUGCGGUGUCAAAGUGAGCAACUGGCGGUUCCGUUCGAGUUUCACUUACAUUAGAUAGAAUUUGGUAACCAAGGAUAGGAUAGGACACUCUUUAGCCCGGAUCAGAAGCCUCAUCAUUGCCAGUGAUAGUUCUAGGUUAAGUUUCAUCCAUAAGAGCAUCUCUUUCAGUUCGCCUAGUUCGAGUGUAAUCCUUAUAGAAAUAAGAUCGAUCAUCUCUACCUACUGUACUGAUAAAGCUAAUGCUGAUGUUCAAUCAUACUCGUCUCUUUCUCUUGAAGAUAAGGAAUAGAUGAAGUUCUCUUGAGGAUAAGGAAUUGAGAAAGGUGUUGUAUAUAGAGAAAAGUCAUAUUAAUAAGAUAUUAGAGUUGGAUAUAGAGAAAAGUCAUAUUAAUAAGAUCUUAGAUGUGAUGCAAGAGAGUCGACGAGAUAAGUCAUUGGCUCUAAGUCUUUAACAGGAGAAGAGAUAGGUUCCGUUCGAGUUCAAGUUGCAAGAUCCGUUCUUGGCUACCAGGUUAUUUCUUGGCUUGCUCCCUUGCUUCCUGACAGCUUGAGCAACUAAGUAGGGUCUGUUUUCGGCUACCCAAUGAAAUAUAGUGCGCAGAUAGGAAUUUGACAAUGAAAUCUUGACUGAAGAAUGCAAUUGAGAGCAGAUAGUGCACCCAUACAUCCAUUAGAGUUGAGAGUGAAAGUCUUUGUUUGUUUUUGUUGGAUUCCUGGGUUAUUGGGUUAUUAUGAUCCCUCGCCCCAAAGGAAAGUCUUGCUUUUGGCAGUUCUAUUCUGAUUAUUGACUACUCUUUUUCUUAUGGCUCAUAUAAAAAGACAGGCUUUCAGCACCCGAAUCCUUUGUUCGUCCGCCUGUUUUCGUUCCUGUGUUUGUGUUGCGCGGCAGGAGCCCCGGGGUCGCAAAGGAAGCUUGAAUAUAGAAACUCAAGAAAGGCCCGGGAAAGAGCAUCACUACUAUAUGGAAUUAUAAGAACUGGUGCUCUAGUGAAUCAGUAUUUUCGUUCUUGGAAUCCGUUUUGUGAUUAAUCGACCGUUAGAGGUUCAAAGUAUGACUUAAAGACUCUCAAUCAAUUAGUUAUUUUCAUUAAGGGUUGAUUCAAUGACUCAAUUUCUCCUUGAUAAGGAAUUUGUGCAUCAGGUGCAACGACUUCUGGUGUAGCUUGGCUAGCCCCAGAGGCAUUUGCACAUUCAUUUUCCCACCAGAGUUUGAGGAAAGACACUGGAAUUGCCCGAUGUGCCCGCGCACUUCUUUACUUGAUUCAGAAGCACUUGAUUGAGACCACGGGUUACGUCUAGAAAGAUAUGGGAUAUGGGGAUAAAGGGCAGCCGGAGCCUUUGUUAGCGUUAACAGUACAGCUAGCUUCACUUUCAAUGGGUUUGCUUUCGUUUUUCAUCCGGGGCUGUGCCCUGAAAGAGACUACAAGAAUACGAGGUAGUGUUGAGACCGAAGAAUCCAUUCCAUAGUGACCUUGCUUGUCAAAAGGCAGAAAUACUCGCAUCUCUAUCACCGAAUCCGGAUUCUGGUUCUUUCUUUGAUAAGAAUCGAUCCUCCGUUUGCCUUGGCUGGAAGAAGAAGAUUUAGCAGGUAGUAAGGGAUGACAGCUGCCCCCAAGGUUGAAUGAAGAUCUGAUCUCCUUUCUUUCUGAGGAUCAACUAGUAGUUCCCGAUAAAGGAAAAUGACACUGAUUUCGGGUUUCUCUAUUUUCUUUCAUUUUCUUAGAAAAGGUGUGUUUGUGAGGCAGAAAAGAAAAGUAAACCUACCUAUAAAUAAGGCUUUCCAGCCCCAGCCAGUAUAACUAGAAAAGCUAUAAAAGUCCAGCUGUAUAACUAGAAAAGCUAUCGAAGUCCACAUACCAAAUAUGGAACAUGCAUUUCCGAAACUUCCAACUAUAACUAUAAUUCAAGCAUAAAGCUUAUGGCCAUGGGAUAAGUUCCUUUCGAAGGAAGACCUUUUACUUGCGAUUGAAUGAGUUGGUUUGCUAACAGGGGAGAAUUCUAGGCAAGGCAGGACUACUUUCUACUACAUUUUCAAUCAGAAGAGACGGAUUUCCAUUUUAAGGACAAGGAGACAAUUUAGUAGACCGCGGAUGUCAGCACCUUAUUGUUGGGUAGGGCCCGAGGAAAGAAGGAAAAGCUCAAGUGGUUGUCUUCCCGACACAGGGAGCGGAGAGCCUAUUCGUAGACCUUCGGAUAAGACAUAGAUAGGCGGACUUCCCUUAGUCUAUCAAGGAAGAAAAGAAGGAGUGAGUUUAGUACCAAAAGCCAGAGGUGUUACCGACACAGGGAGUGGAUAGCCUAUUUGGAGGCCGGCAGGGAAGAAAUAGCUGACUUAAGCUACUACAGCAAGGAAAGGAAAAAGCCCGAAGUGCGGCACUAACAAAAGUCCAAAGCUCAGUAAGCACUUAUACUUUCUACCCCAUACAUUAGCACUUAUACACUGUCAACAACAGUUGGGCCUGUACAAAUUCUUGUCUUGCAACUACAGUUGGGGCUGUACUCAGUAAACCUUUAAUGGAAUCCAUCUUAUAAAUACACUAAAUAUAUCAUCUGUUGCAUUAAGAAUUGGUUCUAUCUCUACUAUAGCAUUAAUCAUUUAUGCUGCAAUCUCUACCCUAGCUUGUAUACUCGAAACCUAAACCUCUGCUGCUUGUUUACUCUAAACCUCUGCUUUGUCAAGCAUCUGAACUAUCAUACAGGGCUAAGCUGUUUCUCUUUGAUGAGAGGUAAAGGGUCUCGUGCUCGUCCUCGCUGUCAGUCGGUAGGGUAGCGAGUAGGUUAUGGUCUACCAGUUGGAGGGUCCGAGUCAAGUAGGUGUCUGAGGGAAAGGCGAAGUCCAUAAAAGAACUAUAUGGGGAUGCCUAUCUCUUCUAUUACAUAGUUGGAUUGAUUCAUGUCCCUCAGUGGAGUUCCGUUAUUGAAGGCAGUGAGAGCCCAGUAGGAGAGGCGUUCCAGAGUAGUGGUCCAAGCAUUAAGGUUCAGCGGCUAUUACUCAGGGUAGUGAAGGAACUCCUAUAUGUCACUAUUGCUUAAGUCAGGGUUAAGGUCCAGAAACAUACUUGCUUGUAUAUGAAGGUACCCAUAGCUAUUGGUAUAUGUUGGUGCUAAUAUUCAAUCAAUACAAUAGUAGUAUUUUAAGUCCUCUCGUGGCUUUCCUAUGGAAGCAGGUGCCUAUCUUAUCAUAAUGGGUACAGUAGAGCUGCCAACCACGCCUUUACCGAGUCCACUGGGUCUUGCGCCGCUCCUACCCCUUCUUUCCUUGAUAAGUAUCAUCCUUCUCCCCUUUACUGAACCCAGCUUUUACACCCAACACAGAAAGAGAAGAGCACACGACAGAAAGCCAUUUCGUUCUCAUCCGUCCGCGAGCCUAGGCACGAAACACAAGUCUGUUCACCACUGCUAAAAAGAACGCUAGUGACCCGUAAUCCGACUCUAACUGGUGCUUGCCCACUACACAGACAGGAAGGAAAGAAGCAUAAUGUAGUAUAGAAUGCAGCCUAUCUAAUCUAAUGUAGUGUCAGUUCAACAAGGUAAAGGAAUGACCUAUUGUACUAAGUGUAAUAGUAUAUGGAAGCUAAGAUUUCUAAGUAUAUUAGUUCCAAUCUUACUAACGCUUUAUUCAGGACUCUCGCUUAAUUCAGUAAUGGCUUAAAGUCAAUAGUGAGGUUACUUAUUAUGUUAUAAGAUCAUAUCUCUCUCAGAUUUCUAAGUCUUACAUACAAGUAUCAUAGUAUCAUAGUAUAAAUUAGGUGCCAACUUCACUAUAUAAUAUUCCAGGGUGGAGUCCUGAGUUGCUUGUUCAGUUCAGUCUAAAGGAACAGUAUCAAAGGAGAAAUACCAUCUAGUAGCUCUGCCAGCAUGGGGGUAGUUCAGUCUAAAGUAAGGGUAGCAAGUGUCAUUGUCGCGAUAGGUUAUUGGCCAAAGGCAGGAAAGGAAGCAGUUAGAGCAGAGACAGCAGUAAUGGAUGAGCUUUGGAGUUUCGGGGAACAAGUUAGAGCAGAUCCAGUAGUCAAUAGAUGAGCUUUGGAGUUUCGCAGUUAGAGCUGAGUUAAGGGAGUAAACAGUCAGGUUAAUCAAUUACGGAAGUAGUAUGCACUCAACAAGCUAUGUUACCAAGUACUAGCUACGUUCUUUUAGUUGCGCAAACAGGUGAGCUUUGGAGGAAAGUAAGCUCGAGAAUCAUCUGUGUCAGCAGCAAGCGGGAAAUCAAGUGUAGAGUAUGGUUGACGGUUGCCCGUAAAGUAGACAUCGACAACAGAAUCCGCUGUUACAAUAAAAUCAGCAGCAGUGAGAGUUUCUAAAUUGACAGUGCCAGCAACCAACAGCAAAUAUAUUACUUGCUACCACUUGUGGCUUUGCUUGUUCCGGUGAUUUCAUCAUUUUCCCCUAGCAGUGGAUUCCCCCACUUUUCGCAAGAGUCCCGAGUGUGCGCAAGCCCUUAAUGCGAGUUCCAGUUCCGUUUGAGUGUCAUCAUAUAUAGAAGCGUAGGUCAAGUCAAGUAUAUAUAUAAGCUAAGCUGUCUUCGGAUUCUUAAGCAAGCAGUACAGUCAUUGUAUCAAGAAGCCCACGUAGCGGUUAAGCAGUUCAGUCAAGAAGUCGAAGGGCCGCCCAACGUCUGACUUAGUUGCUUGGCCCCUUAUGCUUACUACCAUUCCGAGUCUAUUUACUAUAUGUGCUUAGUCUAUUCCUUUAUUGGAUACACUAUGCUAUACCUCUCUUAUAAUGAGGAGCCGGGACAUGGGAUACUAACAACAGUAGAAGACCUCACACUCAAACACAAACAUAUGAAUUGAAGGCGGUAAACUAACCAAGUUAGAGCUAGGAGAGGAAGAGUCAAAGGUAGAAUACAAGCAACAGAGGGGUGAUUGAAGAAUUCGCUAUAGUAGUUUCAGAGUGUGAAUUGGUAGGUUCAAUCUAAUGGGGCAGUGUCCAAUUCUUUAAGAUACCCGUGAGUAUGUAAGUGGAGAGUCUAAGCCGGUUAUAUGGGUUGUGGGUAGGCCCCUUCCCUUCCUUUUGUGCAGUCUCUGAUCUCUAGGGCUACUCUUUAUUAGAUUGCUUCAGCUGAAGAACCCAGACUGGCAUGAUUGGAUUGAAGCGGUUUACUGACAAGACGUUCACGGAAAAACAGACAGACGAUACAUUCCUUUGUAUUGAGAGUGAAGAUGUACAGAGUAAGCGCGCUAAUCGUUUUUCACGACAGGAGCGCUGAAAGGUGUUGAAAGAAAAGAGCCUUUACUUGAAUAUAGGUGAAUAGAAUAUAGGAAUGAUUCGGAUAGAAUAUGGGAAUGAUUCAGAAGAUAGUUCAUUAUUGAGAGAAAAGAAUGGCUUUUGAGUAAAGCAUAGGAUGCAUAGAAUAUCUGUCUGAGUUCAAACACAAGGCUAUGUGAAAGAUCCGGUCUGAAAACGGAAAACACUAACCCAUUCAAGGCAUUGGAGAUAAGUACGCAUGGUGGCCAAACCUGUGAAAUCGGGACAGGCAAGUCAGUGUACCGAAUAGACUGCCUUCCUAAAUAGAGAGUUUCAUUCAUACUCUCCGUAAAUGAGCUAUCUGUCCUUCCAUUCUUUGGAAGGUGCAUUUAAUCUCCUGUCGUAAGCGCUAAGAAAGAGGCAGGAGAUCAAUGAAAUAUGAGUCAUCUUGUAUAUAUCAUAUCAUACCAACCCUAGGCAAAAAGAGACUCGGUUCACUAUUCGCCAUCGCAUAAAAAGCAGCUCUUUCCUUCUAUAUAAGCGGAGUUCAAAAGUUUCAAUAAGUAUAAAGUUAAGAGAAACUAGCAUAGCAUCUUUCGUGAAGAUCCACUACCAUCUUUCCUUUUAUUUCCUCCGCACCAUCUCUAAGUUCACAUUUCUUUUGACUCCCAUUAGAGACAAAUACAAAACAAACACAAAAGGGUAUAUUCUUUAAAUGGCUUUUUUUGCCCAGAUAGAAUAGGCGUGUUCAUACAGUUGUAUAUUCAACCAAAGAAUAAUAAGCUAUCACUGAAGAAUUGGACUUACUAAGUGUCGACUUACUCGAGUUUCUUAUGAACUGGGCUUGGAGCCGCUGCUAGAUAUGCGCUUAAAACCCCAAUACAUAAUGGGUCUUUUCUACUUUACUACAGGGGAAGAGCUGGAAAGAGGGACAGUAGCUUGGGACAGGUGAAACAAGAAAGCCAUCCGUUAUGUUCCCGUGGUUGAGUCACUCACGAAUGUUUCGUCCCAAUCCAUAUUGCUUUGGUGGGGAACGAGUAGUCCACAUCUCUGAUGAUCCACAUAGUCUGCUUGCUUUUUAUGUCCUUCAAGAUUGUCGGUGGGUGCAGAAUAUGGCUCUUUCCAAAUAGAUGAGGGACGGCGUUUUUGAUACCUAAGUCAGAGGAAGCUAUCAGACGCAUUGGCUGGCUUAAGAAGAUCAGAUCUAUCACGAAUAGGUUUCACAGCAGCUGCAGUCACAACAGAGGAGCUCGUUAUGAAGUAAAGUACCUGCAUUCCACAUUGGAAAUGAUACAUAGAAGUGGAAUUGCGGUCGUAACAUUCUAAUGCCUUAAUUGGGAAUACGGGAGAUCCUUGGUUAAGAUCUGGCUCGGAUGCUACAGGUAGCUAAGCUAAGCAUUUGGAUCUGCUACUCGGAUUGCAAAUGGUUCCAAAUACUGGCUGAAACGGAAUACAAAAACCAAUUGGUGGAACUACAAAUGAUGAGUAAACUCGGUAAAGUACUGCUUGCUACUUUUAUUAGGCGCUGAGCUAUGCAUGGACGCCUAUCGAGCUUCGUUUGACCUGACCCGACCCUACUCAUAUCCGAAUAUAUUACUAAUAUCCUAAUAUAUAAUAAAUAUGAAUUUGAUAAUAUAUCUUUGCCUUUAUGAAAUGGAUAAUGUAUCUUAGCCUUUGUUUGUAUAGUAUACGGGUGAAUGGUUUUAUGGAGAUACUCAGGGUCAAACCUUUAUUAAAGAAAUACUAUUUCACAUCUUUCGUGAGAGAGGGAUCGGAUCUAAGAAUCACAGUCAAUGCACUCUAUCAAAACGGAUCCUUUUUCUCCUAACAUCAACUUUACCGCCUCUUCGAAACUACAGGGAUGCUGGCUAGGACUGGUUCAAUUGGUGCUCUGGCUGGGUCAACUACUGAGCUGAAUCAACAACUUACAGUAGCUUAGAUGCAGCUGUAUCCGCAUUUCCACUUACUGGGUCGGAUAUGAUUCAAAUGCUUAAGCCUCUUACGCUGAUCCACUGGAUGCUGCUUCAACGCCCUUUGCCACUUUCGAAGAACUACCGUUCGGACUUGUUUCUUGCUAUGACGGCAGGUACGGAAUCCUUAUUCUAGGCUCAAGCGGAAGAUAUAUCAGAACCGGGUAAAGAAGAUCUAAUUGAUUCAUAAGAAUGAGCGGAUUAAGCAGUUACAAUGGAAUAAGCAAGUGCCCGUAUCUGAUCCUGCUUGAACUUCAUCUUUCUUUCGCCUCGCGGUCAACUAAUCAUUAAUUCCAUCUUUCGAGCUUAAGGAAAACAGUAAAGUCAACUAAUUCCAAUAAUUCAUUGAACUCGCCUAUAUCAAAGGAAUGCAAUCUAAAGGGCUUUGAAGCCGGAGUUUGCUUGCAGCUAACCUAACUGCUUCCAUCUUUUCUUUAUCUUCGAGCCUAUCUUUUGAGACUAUACUAUAAGCAAAGCAGGGUACCCGAGAAAGUGUUUGGAUUCCAGUUCAUGCACUGGAGCCUUUCUUUACCAACUAUUAGAAAGAAUCCCCUCCUCAGUAGCUAAGUGGUAUACGGUGGUAUAGCAGUUAUCAUAUUGAGUGUUCCAUAUGGGUUCGUCUACUUGACUUUGGUGGUGCUAUGCUAUAUUCUAUUUAGCUUCGUAUAGGUCUAGCUCAGUAGUGAAGACCACGUAUUACUCUUUUUUAGAAAACGCAACUUACCUAUAAUGAGAAUGGGUGAAGUUCAUAUUGACUUGGAUAUUCACUGUUGGUACUCGUACUAUCACCUCUGUAUCUGCUGGAUAUAGAUAUGGCUCUAAGUAACUGUCACUUAGUCAACAGGUUCUUCGUUCAAAAACCGGAUAAAAGACUCGCUCAGUUAAUGCUAUUGGUCAAAAUGUAACUACCACGGGUUCUUUGACUGGAUCAAGGUAUGUAUAUGCUUAUGGCUCUGCUCUUGCAACCCUAGCUUAUGGUGCUGGUCCUACAACAGGGUAUUAUGCAACUGAUGCUUUUUAUGUAUUAGCUACUUAUGCUCCUCUAGUGGUGUUGAUACUCGGUAGAGACAAAUCCAACCCGAAGAGCACCACGCUUGUUCACGAACGAAGUGGUAGUCAAUUUCUAUAUGUUUGGUACGGGCAUUCAAUAUUGGAUGGACGGCUUCUCAUGCAUACAGUUUUUUCCCGACGCCCUACUAUAGGGUAUUACGGGCGCACCGAUACGUCCGGCUCAUCCACAGCUCUAUCUUCCGAGCCCCCCUAUGUUGUAAGUGAUUGGGUUAGGGGGUGAAUACAAGCUAGCAGGCAAUAAAGCUAGUGAAUCAGAAUUCUAGUCAAGAUUGACUUGUCGUGGUUUACAGUGGCUCGCUUGGUGAUGGAGGCCCCGGCAUUCUUUAGACCAAACUGAAUCACCUUGUUACCCCUUUCUUAUAUAGUGCGCCGUUUUCUCUCUGUCUCGAAGGUAGGUUAAGUCAAGUGUCAAGUCAGGGCUUAGGUUCCAAAUGGGGGCUGGGCUGGAGCAGCAACUCUCGCAUCAGCUGUAGCGGCGCAUUGUAAAGGUGCUUAGUUCGUCGAGCAAUUUCAGGCUAUCUGAGCGGGCAGAGGGAAAGCAAGAUGAUCGACCGGCUACAGGAAUUGCAGAGGCUCUCGAACUUUAUGUGCUCACUACUCGUUGCAUAUCCUGCUCCUCUUAUAAUAGCAGUAGCUCUCCUUUAGUAGCUAGUGGCUCUUCAUAAGGUGGAGCUCAGUGGAAUAUGCCGCCAACAGCAGCAUCGGUCGAUAGGCAGGCGAUAGUUGCUUCGGUCAUCUUCCCUGUGUCAGUCUAGUCCUUUGUGCCAUAAGAGUGCCUGCAAGGUCAUUCUAUGAGGGCUGCCUUACUAGCGUUCCUUCCUAUAAGGCUAGACAGACGAUUCCACAUGUUCGUCCGUUACUAACCGGCAUUUCUUCCAGAAUUAAGAGAGAGUAGAGCUAUUGAAACAGAAAGCCUAUGAGGCUCGGUACGCUAUACACAUCCUGUUGCCAGCAUCAAAGACCCUUCUUUCCUUGUGCUCCGGCCAAGUCUUCCCGCUCGCCCAGAGAAUUCUUCCUUUUAGAUACUCACUAACGCCCUCCUUAAGGGUCUUGCUCUUGAUCCUAUAACUCUUCAAUCCUAUGAUUGGGGUCUUUGUCUUUGGGCUCUAUCUUCUUUCUUAUUGAAUCUAUAGAACUAGCUCGAGCAAGCUUAAGAAAAAAGGGGGAAUUUCUGGUACUAAAGGAGAAGGGUUCGUGCCUUUCCCCGAUGAAAAAAGAAGGAAUCUCAUCUUUGUUCUAUGUUUGGGAGUAAGCCAGUCAAUGUGCCCGCUGUUGUGUAUGAGCAAGCGAUCUGAUCCUAUGCGCCUUUCUCCUUUUAGUGAAACCAACCGUCCCUUAGCUCGUGUUAUCAGAGUCACUUCAUCCAGUUUUCAAUAAGGAUGAGAGGGCUUUGAAUGAGAGAAAUCAUAGUUCGGGUGUGGUGAAGUCUUGGAUUGGAAGUCAACUAGCUCGACUGGAAGUAAACUAGCUCGACCAGUUGCUUAUAAAGAUUUUCCAGAAGAAGGAAGAAUUGCUGAGAAGGCUAAUCAUAUAGUGCAUUGGUGGAAAUAUGUACUCUCCCCACGAAGGGUUGGAUCCUUCCGCUGUAUAAUCUCGCUUGACUACUGGUAUGUAUGUCCGAAGUCCCCUUCUAAGCUAAGCCAAGCUCUCUGUUCUCUUCCAUUUGCAAGCUCUUUGAUAUCCGGUAGUUUCCCUUUGAAAAAAACACCUAGACUCCACUUCGGUAUCAUUUUGGAUUGAGUUAGCUAGGGCUCCUUUGAUCGUGCAUCUUCCUUACUGCCUUAACAUACAGCCUUCUUAGGAUUCUACAUGACAUGAUGUAAAAGACUAAACCUCCCCUCCUUCUUAAAGACUGUCCUACCCGAGGCUAGCGAACCCACCACCCAAACUCAUUAGCAUUCCUGCCUACCGCUAUACGUGGGCGCUGGAAGCUAUUGAAAUCGGACAAUUCGGAUUGUUACUGAGACGCGUAACACAGGCUAAUCGAUGAAAUGAUAGAGUGAUAAAGGGGCUAAGGCUCACUACGAAAUUGAUUGAAAUGGUGGAGAGAAUCGGGAUGAAAGGUAUGGAUCAGAUCGAGCCCGAGAUGCGGAUCAUGAGCAGAGCAAACCAAGAUAUUCAAUGGAUAUGCAAUGAGGGAGCGCUAGCCCCAAGGGUCAGAGAAAGUAUAGCUACCCGAGCUGUCAUGAGUUCAGUUCAUAAACUCAAAGGAGUUGAUCUUAGCCCUUAAGAGGGGGCCGAGGCUGGUAAUAAAGGUAUGAAAGCCAAACCACUUUCCAUUAAGGGAAAACGGAGGCAGCUUCUUCGUGCUAUGCUAUAAGUGGGCGCCCCUAGACCAUAGAAAGAAUAGAGCCAACGGUGCAGCUUCGGACUAGGUAGGGUGUCGAACCUCAUGUUUUCGAUCUCAGCCCCAGCCCCACUUCUGUUAUGCCAACUACCAGUAUUAGAUAGUGCCCCCAAAAAGGAAGCUUUAGUUCCACUUCUAUUGAUGCAAUAUACCCUUCCAGCGAGUUUUCCUAUCCCCGAGUCUAAGGGGUAGCUUUAUAUACUAGAAUACUGGUGCCCUUAAGUAAUUGCAUCCGAACAUUUUCUACAUCAACCAGGGACGAAUGGGGGUCGCUUCCUCUCUGCUAUGCUAGGAAUAGGAAUACUUGAAUGAAAAGAAUUAGAAACCCUUGCCUUACUUCCGAAUCCAUGCGGCUUUUCUUAGGUCCGUUUUUGUUACCCUUUUACUUAGAGUUAGAGUUAAUGUCUCUAUCGAAGUUCUAAGAUUACCACUUUCUGCAUUUUAUUCCCGGCCUGGAUAAAGUAAAGACUUUGGGCACGUCCCUCUAUAUUCGUUUUCUGGGAAUGCCUCUACCCACUUGAACUCUCUGGGUGCAUCGAGACAAAGUAUCAAGUGUCUUUGUGAUUCAAUUCUAUAAGUGAGUAAGCAUAGCAUCCUCCAGUUCUCUCGUCUUUCUCUUUCUUCUUUGAAAAUGAUGUUAGGUUCCGAUCCGUAGGUUUUAGUGAAAGGGAUGCUCUAUCUGCUUUCCCUUCUUUCUUCUAAUUAUUUCUACGAGUCUAAAGGGAGUUAUAUUCUUUUCUCGGGGCUUGUUUAUUUGAAUAUAAGUCACUUUGAAGAUCUAAUUAGAAUUAUGCAUUCGAGGUGCUAAGUAAAGAAUCAGAAUUUCUAUCGUAUGGGAAAGUCAAAAGUCCGGCCGAUAAAAAGAAGUCGAAAUAUAACGCCAAUCCCCGCGGUGAUCUUCGCUUAAGAAAAACUCACGAGCUGGGCUUUUCCACGGACAAAGAAUGGAGUCCAACAGCUCUUUGUAAGGCGGAAGAAACAUAUAAUAUAUAAGAAGCGCUGUCUCCGAUGGCAUCAGCAUGCGUCUAGUACAUAUUUCUUUCUCUUGUCUUCGUAAGUCAAGGGUGUUUAGUUUCUUUUCGUUUUCAGUCCUCUUACUCGUUUGAUGUGUCUUCAUGUAUGGGUUGAAAGUUGGCAAAACACUUGUGGACCUCACGUUUAAGUCAGUCUAGUUACAUGAAUGUAAACUACUGUACUGCCCCCAUCUGAGAUAAUGAAUUCAGAUAUAAUUGAGGUCCAGCUCCUAUUUUGGCAAACUAAAGGGUUUGUGUUGAUCCUCAAUCUCGUCCCCUUCUGGUCUCUCUCUAGACAUGUGUUCUUUCGUCGAAAGCAUUAUGUUUCUUUUAGCCUUCAUCUUCCUCUGCCGUUGCUUAUGUAGGGUCCCGACCUCCUUCUUCUAUUCGACUUGUGCCCUUCCGGAGACUUCAUCUUUGCCAUCUGCUGAUGACUCUCACCCUCGUCGACGUGUCUUGUGUCCAUCCCUAUUACUUAUGUUGUACACUCUCGCUGGGCUAUCGGUUACAUUACUUGAGAUUGAUAGGUAUUAACAGCACUUUAGAGGGUAUUGAUAGGCAUUCACAUGACUUUCUAGGGUAUUGAUAGGCAUUCAGAGCAGCUUGCAGCCUCGCCAGAUCUUACAUCUCUGGUUGUCGAUCCUACACCACAGGUUCGUAGGUCUUAUCGCAUUUUCACGAAGCCUAUUUGUUUCGUUGAAUCUCACUUGUUCACUCCUCGUUAUCAUGCCUUUUUAGCUGCUCUUCACUCUUUCCAUGAGCCUCAGUAAACUAGGGAGGCAGGCAGCCGAGCCGCUAUUCAAUGUUGGCAACAGGCAAUCAAUAUCUUAAGAACGGACUGCCCUUCAGCAGAAUGCCAUUUUGGAUCUUUUUCUUCUUCCGUCUGGUAAGGUUGCUAUUGGUUUCCGUUUCCGUCUGGUAAGGUUGCUAUUGGUUUCCGUUAGGUUUCUAAAGUGAAGACGUGAUCUGAUGGGUCUGUUGAGAGAGACAAAGCUAGGCUGGUAGCCAGAGCGGAACCCGCAUAGACAUUAAGGAGACUUUUGCGCCUGUGGCUAAGAUGACUAGUAGUUUGACCAUUAUUGCCAUUGCAGCGGUUGGCCACUCUAUAAGUUAUACGUUCCUUAUAUGCCUUAUACCAUGGUUAUCUUCAUCUGGAGGUGUACAUGCUGCCUAGCCUACCCCUUGAAAAGAUUCCGCUCCUUCUACUAAUGUAUGCCCCUUAAGCAAAGCCUUCUAUGGUAGCCUAUUGCGUUGGUUUUUCAAGUUUAGCACAGUGCCAUUGCUCGGGGAGUUUUCAUGAUUCGGCCAUGUUCUUUUCUUUUUCUCCUCGAAAACGUGCUAUUCUGUUGUUCUAUGUUCAGGAUAUUCAACUUACUGGUAAUUACUCCGUUAACAUAUCACUGAUCAUGUGUCGCCUUCAUCAAUGAACCUCUUCAUCGCCCUUUAUCUAUACUUCACUCUAAAAAGAACCUGCUCCAUAGAAUGGAAUUGAAAUGAAAAAGGUAGUAAGCGGCUCUGCCGCGCAACUUGUCUAGUUGCUUGGCGAUUAUGAAUCGCUUAUUACUUGUUUGUUUACUUGUUUCAUUGAGUGCAAAAGAAAAAGCACAUUACUGGAAAUAGAGUAUUGUUGAAUAUGACGUUAACCCAUAAUGUAAUAAAGUAACUCACUACCUAUGACUCUCGGGGAUUCACUCACUACCUAUGACUCUCGGGGAGAAACGAAACACUCUGUUACUCCUGACUUGAAGAAUUAAGCUAGGCACCCGGAAACAACAACUAAAUCCAAGAAUGGAAUAGAGCCAUACUCGCACUGCUAAUCCCUUGAAAUAGAGUAAUAACACCUUGAGACUUGAAAGCUGGGGCACUGCUAACCCCUUGAAUAGCGUAAUAACACCUUUACCUUGAGACUUGAAAGCUGGCACUGCUNNNNNNNNNNNNNNNNNNNNNNNNNNNNNNNNNNNNNNNNNNNNNNNNNNNNNNNNNNNNNNNNNNNNNNNNNNNNNNNNNNNNNNNNNNNNNNNNNNNNNNNNNNNNNNNNNNNNNNNNNNNNGUUGUUUGCUUGUUCCGUAGGCACCGGCUUGUUAUCGAAACUCACUUCUGGCUUUACCCAACGAAACUGCUUGUUGAAACAGAACUGCUUACUGCUAUUACCCCACCUAGCGGCGAUAGGAUUGAGCUCUUGGUAUAUAUGCAUUUAAUAAAUAAAGAGUUUCAAGAUUGAUAUUCAUAAUAAGGAGUGAUAGGAUUGAGCUCUUGGUAUAUAUGCACUUCUAAAGAAUAAAGAGUGAUAGGGAUGCUAUAUCAAAGAGUAAUGAAUUUAGGGAUGCUAUAUCAAAGAGUAAUGAAUUCAAUAAGCCCGCGGUUUAGUAAUAAGCUAACGCACCCAAACAAAUAAGCUUGUAACGUCUUGCAUAACUCACUAACGCUUACUGCUCUUCGGGCUCUAAAUAGACUAUUUCCGUUUAGAUUUCUUAUGAUAUCCCUAGCAGCUUUGCUUCCUUGUUUAACAAAGGCUUGUUCCGGCCCGGCGAACUGAACUCGUUUGUUGAUUAUGAAUUGAGUGUACCUAGGAAAUACGCACAGUAACACACAUUCGAAACUCCUAAACGGAAUGAUUGCCCUAGUAUACCAUAGUACUUAUCUUAGCACCGUUGCUUGUUGAAUGGAGUGCACCUACUCAGAGGUCUAUGUUAUGUUCUAAUUUCGUUUUACCUAGGAAGAGGUCUAUGUUAUGUUAUGUUAUUAGGCUUCAAUGCUUGUGGGGUCCGGGUCAAAGUGGGUGUUUUUAUGGAAAGGUUUUUCACAGGCUAUAAACAACGCAAAAAGAGCUUAUUUAUACAGCCUUAACCAAUACCGAGUUUCUUGUUGAAGAUAGUGCACACAACUUAUGUAAGACAGCAACCUCACUGCUUACUCCUGGCGUUGUUACCUUACAUUAAUCAAAUCAUCGUUUACAGCCGAACCCUAUACUAAGCACUUGCAGGCCCUAUACACAGAAGCACCGUUACUCUACUUAACUACUAAACAAACAGGCUCUUAGCACCUUGCUUUCAAUCUACCUUCAAGCUUGUUCCCGCAGCUUACUCACUUGCUUGUGUAAUUUAUUAACAAAACAAAACACUGGCCAAGAAACUAGAUGAGAGAGAAUCCAUUCUUUUAGGAGAGUCUGGAGCGAGUGGUUCAAUUCCUUAUUCUUGUUCAAUGUCUUUACGAUGAGAUUCCAAAAUGUCUGUGUUUGUUGGCGGUGAAGAAAGUCUUUAUUGUGUUCAGGGACAGAAGAAAGUACUAGUGCGCGAGCUAUGUUAGGUGACUUUCCAACUUGAACAGAACUACUUGCGGAGGCAGACGUUGGGAUUGGCGCUAGGAAAAAGAAUGGAAAGGAUGCUUUCGUGCUAGAAGGAGAGGAUAGGAAAGGAAAGGAAGGGCGCUAAGAAAGUCAGUACUCUUGUAGAUGCCGAUCAAUCUUAUUAUGCCAUGCCGGAAAGAGAGAAAGAAGCUUUGGGUUGGGGCGCGCUGGGCAAGCAAUACCUUUCUAUGGGUUAGGUGCGCGAGCAGUGUUUUCUUUUUCUGACUUUCCUUCCACCCCCCACCAAAACGGAAGUCUACAGUCUCGUAUCUCGCUGUUCCCCUACUAUAGGGCUCGAAGUCAAGUUCAAGUCUUCGGGAACGAGUAAGAGUGGUUUAAGUUCCAGUCUUAUAGUUAACAGUAGUUGCUCGUCUUUUGGUCCUGUGUUCAGCUACCUAAUUUAUAAUCUAUCGCGGUCAACUCCGUAAGCAGUGAAGUCUUUUCAUUUACUUUAGCUUGUUAACUUGUUCUCGCCUUAGUUAGUCUUCAGACGCCUUGUAAACCAGUCAAAUCCUACAUGGAACUUCAAGCUCCCUAAUAAGCGCCUUGUAAACUAGGUGUAAUAAAUCAAUAAUGGAAUGUUUACACCAUAGAAUCUCUUUUCUCUACUGGCCACGUAGCAGUAAUCAGAAUCAAAGGCUCAAAAAGAUGCAGUAUCCAGAGAAUCCGCAGUGCAAUGAGAGUAGAGUGAGGAAGGUUAACAAACAAGCUUAUGCGCUAACAGGAAUGUCACGGGAGUUUCAAUUGUCAUCUUAUAUGCUUGACGGAACCAGCAUUUGUCCUGCCUGAAGUACAUACAAGUUCCGUUCGCCCAGUUCGUUCGACUCUCAGGUCUAUGUUUAGGGAGUUAGUACGUUGCUUUUUGAGUGUAGUUACUGAAUCUCAUUCUUAUUGAAUAACUCCAUUUGGAAAGAAGAUUAUGACAGUACUGUACACAUUAUGUAUCAAAGUAACAACACUCCGAAAUGAAAGAUUCCACACAAGGGAUUCAACAGCAACUGUUCCUGCUCCCACUCCAGAGAAAGCUUCCGCGCUAAGAUCUCCUGGUCGACUCGGUGCUAACAGAGUUUCUGCUUAGGGAGCUCAAUCCCCUUUUGUUGAAUUCAAUGAUGACUUUCGAGGUUAGGAGUAUAUAGAAGAAACAGUCUCUGGGGUGAGUCACAAAUCUCUUACUCAGUUUCCAGAUCAGAAUAAGGAUCAUCUGGGCAGCAAUCUUUUCUUCAAGUCUAGUUUGAGCAAAGGUCUGUGAUGGAGGUGAGAGUGCUUGUGUCUAAGGCGGUUCUUGACCUUGCUUGUAUAUGAGAAUGUCCCGUUCCAGUUUCAUCUAUAAGAGGAUUUCCUCUGUUCCGUUAGCGCAACAUUAUACCAUUAUACUACUAAGUAAGCUUGUUCGGUAAGAAAGCGUAGAGAGAAGCUCGUUGAGCGUAGAAAUCGGUAAUCAUAGAAAAGAGAGGUUAAGCUGUGAAAAAGUAAGCUUAUGAAUUGCUAGUUCCAGUUCUUGUUUCAGAAUCAGAAUAAGUUCGAUAAGAUGCUACAUCAGGGAGAGGGUUAAUAAUAAGUACUGGCGAGGAAGAAGUUGAAACAGAAUCCACAGUGCUAAAGUAGAGUGAAAGGUAAACAAGCUAUGUAUUUACAAACACGCUGAUCAUUGGCUUUUCAUCGUACGUAUUAAGAAGCUGAGCUGGUCAUUAUUGAAUCAGAGGCUUAGCUCCCGAUGAUGAAGAUAGGUAAUAGCAAAUAGAGACUUUUGUUCGGAUGGAAGGAGACUCGUAUCUACUCGGUGUAGUCAACUAAUUCCAUUAGAUUCUUCUGUCCAUCCUUUUGUAGGGGAAGAACCCUUUUCGCCUAGGGGACUCCUUUUUGGCCUAUGAUAAACCAUUUCAUCUUGUAUAACUAUUGAUAGCUUGUAUAACUGCAUGCGGAAGGUAAGGCUAAGCACGCAAAGCAAAGGGAAGGGAAAGCCUAGCCAACUGAAUCAUGCACCUACUUACACUUGAUGUUCAGCUGACCCCUUAACUUAACUGACGCGGAUACGAAAACAGUACUUAUUCUGUGUCCUUAGCUGGCGAAAUUAGCACUCCCUUAUGGGAUUACUUUACUACUUUACGAGCUUCUAUAUACCCUGUCCCCUUCUCUUUAGCACUUGUUCUUGUUGGGCCUUGUCAAACAAUCAUUUAUUACUGCAUGAAUAUAAGAGAGGCAUUGAAAAGACGACUCCCUUCCCGUGAGCUCACUGAUGCACCCUCUCCUUACGCACUUCGAGCAGUGAGAUGACUUUACUUCAGCAGUAUAGCAUUCAAUUCUUCUUCCAGUAUAGAGUCUGAAGCGUAAGCCGGAGAAGAAUCCUUUCUGGUUUCCUAUGUGUCAGCAGCAAUAGAUUCUCAAAGGAGAGUUCUUGUUUCACUGACUUAAUAUAGAAUAAGUGGGUAUCCAAAGGGAUAGAUAGCUUUAAGAUCCAGAAGUGGGUAUCAAAAGAGAUAGGUAGCUUUAAGAUCCAAGUCGUCAACAUCUUGUCCCGCCUUGUACUGAGUUAGAGUUCCUUUUCUUUACGCGUAAGCCAUUAGCAUAGUCACACCUCUGCUCAACUUAGAGAAAUCCCUUAUCUCUAACGCGUUACCAGACACAAGACAGGUCAUAACUACUUCUAAAGAAAAGACUGGUCAUAACUACUUCUAAAGAAAAUCAAUAUUACUCCCGUGACUCGUUGGGUUUAGAGCCUGAACCUGGAUUAUUGCCUUCUUCAGCGCACAGUAUCGGUAUCUCCUAGCUUUCUUUUGGAGAGUAUUGUUUGUCUCCUUGGGUGGGAGGUGAAGUAUCUAAUUACCUGGAACCGGAAGGUGAGGAGAAGAAGAUAGUACUGCUGGCAAGGAAUGGUUCCGAUGUAGCUCAGACAAAGUCAAAGUAGUAGAGUAGAGUUCUAUAAGAGAGGUCCACAAGAUCAUCUACAGGAUCAUCAAAGUCUCUCGGUGUUGUGGGGGAGUCUAGAACAACUUAUGAUAGUCAUAAUAUUCCUCAACAUCAGUCCAUACACCUUUCCUAACAAUAUUGCCCGGCGCGCAGGGGAACAAUAAAAUAAGUUGUUCUUUUCUUUGAAGCUGUAGUUUGUUGGGCCAGUGCUCUGUAAACUAUAAUAAUAAGCUAGUCAAAAACUCAUCAAUAUAAGUUAGUUAAUUAGGAACCGAACCUCACCGCGGACUUUUCGCUUUAAGAAAGCCCCACUUCGUGUUAGGAGUUCGCAGUUCCGUUGCUUAGUCUUUUGCCAAUACAAAAUGCAAUUGAUAAUCAUCUGCACCUCUAACUAAUAUAUUAUAGAAUGGAGUCAAAACACUCCUGUCCUUAAAGCUGACUCCCCCAAAGCUGACAUUAGCUGUUGCUUAGUCUUACUAGUUACUAGCUCUUGCUCUGUUGCUUGUUUCACCUUUUUUAGGGAAUACCAUAUAUACCCACCCGGUGGUAAAUAAUGGAUUGUGAAUGGCUCACGGUAAAUGCAUGAUUUUGAAAGGCGAAAAGAAGUAAGAAAUCCAGAAUAGGAGUAGAGACUAUCCUUUAUUACAUAAGGGGGGAGCUUCUCGACGGAAAAGGGCCAAAGCGAAUAGGAUUGAACCCCUAAGGAUAGAAAGUCAUAUCGGAAUGCUUAAAGCGAUAGAGUCGUGAACUGAGUUACUAGUGGGCUGGGCAAGAGAAGCAAUAUCGGAAUGCUUAAAGCGAUAGAGUCGUGAACUGAGUUACUAGUGGGCAAGAGGCUUGCUCAUUUCUCCUUUGUUUUGGGUUUGCCUAUCUAGCUUCUUGUCCUACGCACUAUGAUUUUCAAAAGAAGGGCUAAACGGGGCGGAGAGAGAAAGCCCUCAAAAACGAUCUUUCAUAUUCCCCCAGAGAUCCUAGUAGAAAUACAAUCCUAUAAAGAAGUGGGUUUGUUUCAGGCUUAGAAAGCGGAAGCCUAUUGUGGGGUCUAUGGCGGUCUACUACUUAGUCUAGUCUAAGUUUCCCAUUCUUUUCUAUUAAAUGACAUUCGAUAUUGCCCACGUGAAAGCUAGGAACUAGAACCACCUCCAACGUUAGUGUUCUACCAUACCGCAUAAAGGUGAACAAUUUGUCUAUCAAAAGAAAGUGACGAUUAUCUGCAUGUCUAAUGUAAUAAAGAGUGUUAUUGGUCAUUUUAUCCCAGUGUAAUAGAAUUCGAAAAAGGCAUUUAUUACUUGUGUUGAGUGAUAUGGUGACACUGUCCUCUCCUUGCGUGGAUUCCAUUCCUUGAGAUCUAAUCCAGCUAUUCGAUAUAAAAAUGGGAAUCUUCCUUUGGAUAUACAAAAGGGAAUCUUCUGAUAAGUGAGUAUAAGUGAUCGAGAAGCAUUGGUGAAAUGAAUCAAUCGACUCUCCCUACUUAGAUACAUGUAAGAUCGAAAGGGCAGCUCAUGAAUAGAAGGAAGAUCACAUAGAAUGCUAGUGUUGAGGAAGAGACGGAUGUUAGCUCUCCUGGUAUUACUUAACUAAAGCACUAACACCAAUAACAGAAGCACUAACAAAGGUAAAGUUCUCUUCUUUCUGGUGCUUUCUUAGACUCAAAACCAUCGACCCUAAAGUCUCGUUAUCGUUGUAAGUGAAGGGAGUUCUCUUAGCAAGCUAGUGAUUUUCCCCUUCCUUCGUUAGGGCUUACACUCUUCUCUUUUUCAGCUUACAACGAUUGGUUAAUUAGGAUAGGGGUGGAAAUCAUUGAAGUCGAGUCGAAUAGUAGGGCGCCAAGCAGACUAGUAGGCAAGUAGACAAGCAGACAAGACACUCAAAGACAACUUCCAAAAUCCACUCAAUAUAACGACCAAGCAUCCACUUAGAAUCUUUAUCCUAUAGAAAUAGAAGAUCAAGAAUGAGACAAGCAACGACAAGUACUGUGUUCGGGAGAAGAAUUCUGGUAUCAAAUGUAAGAGUCAGAAGAACACCGGAAGGUAUCAAACGUUUGAAUCACACCGGAAGGUAUCAAACUUAAGAGUCAGAAGAACACCUGAACUACUAUAUCUGCUGAGCAUCAAACCUUAACUACUAUCUCUCCAGAACAGGAGCAGGAGCAGUACUACCGGUAGCAAGAGGUGUUAUCGACCCCAACUAACUAUCCUUUUUGAACCCCUCGUUGCUUGGCCCGCACUCCCACAAUAACUCCACUCUUUGGAUCACAUAAAGGUUCAGGCUUCCAAAAAUCACCCUUAUUUCGAAUACUUAGCGGGCUGUAAACUAUUCUUUUUAGUCGUUGAGCUGAGGCUAAACCACGCUAAUGGCUAAUUCCCUCUCUUGUCCACCGAAAUGCUAAACUAAUGCCUUUGCUUGCUUAAUAAGACUUGCCUCUUGAAAACCCUCUAACGCUUACUUUCUUCCUCCCCAAACUAUACUUGAAGUUUGAUUAACCGACAACACUACUGUAAACCAGUCUUUUAAACGACUCCUGCCAGCGCCCAAAGAGUUUAGUAUGCACGACACUUCAAUUGACUACUUUGAUCUUUAAAGCCACCUAUCUCCUCCACUUGAAGCCAUUAGAAUGUUGCUUGAUGCAGCCUCACGCUAGACUCUACCUGUACUUUACAUAUUGUCCGGCGCGAGAGAGUAAGUUGUAGCACUUUGGCUUUGACGAACUCAACUCAACAAGCAAUAGAAUCAACUCACUAGUCAAAGGGGCUAGGGAACAAACAUACAAGCAAGAAACAAGCGCGCUAGCGAGUUCCAAGCGUUAGUCCGGCUCCGCUUUCACUCUCCCGCUCCUUACUCUUAGUCUUGAGUGCCCUCCCGCUUUUGAAACCUAUCUAUCUUUGCUUGCGUUCCGUAGCUCCUGAUCCAGAUUCUUUGCUAUCAACCUCAAACUCAUUACUGUUAUACCUUAACUAAUGCCUUAGAUCCUGUCCUUGCUGCCUACGAGCCUACCUCUAAACCAGUACCGCUGCUUUCAUUCUCUUACCAUUCUUUAGUUACUGACUUUUCUUCUGACUUGUUUGUUUGAGCCUGUCACUCUUAAACUACCAGCUCUGGGCCUGCCUCCCCCUUAUCUAAUUAUGGUUUUAGUCCAAACUAUACUUUAUGGAAUUCUGUAUUGAUAGCUUUAGUCUGCUACUCCUCUUUCUAUUAGUCUGCUUUUCCUUCUUUUUGGAUUCUGUAGUUACCGAUCUGCUUUGCUUCUUAGACUUAGGCGACCUCUGCCUUUCUUUGAUUCCAACUUUACUGGGUUCUUCAAUUGCCGAUUCUAUUUGCUUAUAUUCAUUAUGAAAUUGCUUAUUGCCUUUCGAACAUAGGAAUAAGAACAAGAAAUAGGGGUUAGGCUUAGGAUCUAGGCAAGGAUAGCUAGUAUUGGAUGAUAACUCCAUUACAGAACUACUAGCUUUGAUUAUUACUACAACGACUAUUAGGCUAAAGGCAUUAGUGCCGUAGUAAAAGCAAGACUCAAUGUAGGUAGCGGGAGACUCCACCUAUAAGUAAAAGAUCUAGAUCCGGGGGGAGUAGCUACAGACUCAAAAGCAGCAGUUGGGUUCUUUAGUUGACCUCGUCCGCAGGGGUUGGUUUAUUUAUAUCAGAAUAAAGUCUUAGAAGCACUAGUGGUAGUUUUCCUCGGAUAGGUAAUGCAAGUCAAGAGUAAAGCCCUAGAAGCUGUAGCGGGAUUCUUUAAUGAGUAAAUAAAGAGACUUUAUAAGCAUUUAUAGAAUUCAAGUAAACAGUACGUCCUCUAUUGCCAAUAAGAGGAAUGAAUGCUAAGGGAGGCUAUAAUACAUGAAAGUCAUACUUUUAGGCGGGAAAGGCAUACUCGAACAUUGGUAUUGAGACCGGGAUGGGAAUACUCAAACUCGGCAUUGAAGGUAAGGUAGGUAGGGCAGGCUUAGAAGCUGUAUCGGCAGCCCUAGUUGUACAAUCAAAGACAGGGGAUAGAAGCUCGUGGGCUGUAAUGCAAUCCUUUAUAUGGGGUUUUUCGUAUUGGAGGUAGUAGUUGCUGCCUUAUCCGUAGGAGUUCCAGCCUUGUAAGCCUCCGGGUCAGUGUAUUAUGCCCACAUUCCAAAUUCUGAGAGGCAGGGUUUAGCGGUGGUUUCGUUCUUGUACACUGGCGUUUGAUCCCAAUUAGGCCCUAUCUCAGUUAAGCUUGAGUACUUGUUUACUUGUCUCUCAUAUCCUAUAGCAACUUCUCUUUAUUCGAUUAAUAAACUAGAGACUUUCUAUUAAUAAACAAGAGACUUUAUCUUUAUUCUAUCAGUGGGUGCACUAGACCAUGCCAUACCUAUUACAUUGGCUCCAAACUGGAAUACCUAUUCUCAUUCUAUUGACUAGCGCUUUACAUACCUAGGCGAUUGACUCUAACUCUCAUUAUGAUUUGUCAUAUCAAACAUAUAUCUUUAAUUGCGACACUCAAACUAUUCCCUUACUGACCCAAGGAAUAUUCCCUAACUGUUGAUUCCAUUCUUGAACUUAUAGAUUGGAUUCCAUGUUUUUGUACUCAAUUCUUCUACUGUGGAGUUUGAUUCCACUGAUGACGUUUCGGUCCAGUAGGGUACCAAGUCAAUCUUACUUAAUGGAUAGGAUUCGCCUACUAGGGACAAAAGCCUUAAUAACAGCGGUUCCAUUCUUUUACGCCCGGGUUCGAUCCCCAGUUUUGAGUGUGAGUUUGGUUCAGUGUCUCAAUUCUGUAGUUUGUGUGAAGAGGUGAAGCCAGUAGCUGAUGAGUUCAAUCCUGUUGUUUCGGCUUUGGCUCUUGCUUUCCUAUUUCAUCCAAUAGAUCAUGUCAUAGACCUACUCGAGCUUCUAAUGCAUUUUCUGCCUAUCCAAUAGUUAUGCCAAUAGGCAGUUAGAGACAAGUCCAAAUACAAGGUUUCAAGCAAGGGAGGUUAUCCUUAAAAGAAAAGAAGUGGAGCAAGCCUUGAGCUGUAGGUAAGGUUCUAGUUCAGUAGGGGAAGUUCUCAGGUAAGUAGCGGAGUCCUAAAAGUAAGGAUAUAAUACCAACCUCAAGAAUGGAAGGCAGGAUCGAUUAUUGUUAUCCGCAGUUAGAGUUUCCGUUUUUACUAUAGUCGUCCAACCUAUUAGCAUAGUAUAUAAGCUUGAAACCAAUAGGCAAGGCUUAGAGACAGGAAGAGCGGACUCGGAGAAUAGAUAGUAAGGCUUAGCUAACGGAGAGGCGAGCUAACAAACAAGACUCUAGGGGGUAAGUCAAAGAAUGAAAAACUCACAAGCAAUACUUUAAGGCAGGAAAGGCAUACUACCAAAAAUCCAAUAAAGAGGUCAAGUCAAGGGGGACAGCCUUGGGAGCGCUCGUUCCAUUCUAUUUAGUCUAAGGGAUCGGACUUUUCUGAAAGAGAGGUAGCCUUAGAGACGGGGAAGGCAUAGCGCAAGGUAUGAGUUACAGACCAAUAGAAGGUAAAGACAGACUCGUAGACAAGAAGGUCGGGCUUUGACUUGAAAGUUCAUUCCGUACAUCCUGUUUUUGUCUUUGACUCCUUAUUCCUAGGUGUGAGUUAAGGUCCUGUUCCAUCAUAUAUAGUAGUCAAUCCUAUAUUAUAAGAUAUAGUAUUGGAACCACUAGCUUAAGCCUGAUGGUAACAGUAGUCGGAAGCUAGCAAGCAAGGAUACAAAUAAGCAGUUCAGAGUGAAAACAAGUCAAGUCAGACUUCUAAUAAGGAAAGGUAGCUUUGAAGUAAGUAGCAGCAGCCUCAUCAGUAGUACGAAGGAUGAAAAGCACGAGUUAUAGUUUGAACCUUGUAGUGGAACUAAUUAACAUACUCCUGUUGGUAACUACACUCAUUGUCCAACAAGCUACCCCCUUAGAGUCAAGGGGGGCAGGCUACGAAGUUCAAUACAGAUUGGAGAUCGGGAGCUACAGGCCAAUAGGGAAACAAGGGUUUUAAGUCAGUAAGGACAGGCUCGGGUUAGAGCAUAAGUCUUUGUGAUAUAAGUCUUUGUCGUGUAUUGGGUUCAUUCCCUCCAUAGCGUCGAUUUGAUUCUACUAGUUGGUAUUUGGAGUCUGCUUGUCUGUAGCCCUAUAUUGUAGGUUCGAGCCGUUAGUCAGUGGGUUUAUUCUAUACUAUAAGUAAAAGGAGUGAAAGGCAUGGGUGAAAGAAUGAGAAACUCUAUUUGAAGAGCGAAAGCCAAAAAGUAGAGGUUUUCGUUUAGGGUGAGAGUAUUGUUUUCACUUGUUCUAUAUGUUAGGGUGCCUCUUCUCUUCCUUUUUUUGAUAGUAUAGGGUUAGGUUCCAUAAUGCUAUUUGAUAUUUAAGGUGCCUAUGGCUAUAGGUCAAUCGAGUAAACAAGAAGGUUGAGACCUGUUUCUCUAUUAGAUAUAUAGGUAGGUAGUAGAUAUAAGUACUAAUGUGUUGGGGACGAUUGCAAAGUCAAUAAGAUGGUUUCUUGAGAGUAGGUGUGCAGGGAUCGAAUAUAGUGGAUGUUGGGUCCGAUUGGUAUAGUUUAGGGUUUAGGCGCCGAUAUGCUCUUAUGUGGAUGAGUCAAGUCCGGUACAGGAUGCCGGUCAAUAAUACUGCUGAUAUAUGGGGUGCCUCAACAAUUCUUCUAAAGAGUCGUUUUCGUUUCUAAAGAGUAGUGGUUGUUUUGUUCGGUGUUUGCAUUAAACAGCUAUUGACUCUUCACUUCAAGUUGGAUUGAUUUCAGAAUGGAGUAGAUAUCCCCAUCCUCCUAAUCAAUUAAUAUACUCAUAGGCUCUCUACGUUUGUCUUUCCUACGAGUAGCUCCGUUCCGUUUCUUUCAUAGAAUAGACAUAACGACCUAGGGGCAGUAAAGCAAGCCUUCUUUGUUCGUGCUAGGCUCGCACUACUGGGAACCUAUUAAGAAUUCAUAAAGAAGCGCAAAACCUCUAUCCUCGUCAGGGCAUGCAUUGAGUAUUAACAGGGCGAAGGGAUAUUGACGGGACUUACCUUUCAAACAGGCAUAUCUAAACUGACCUUUCAAACAAGGCGUAUCUAAUCAGUAUAGUAUCAUGGGAGAGUAGAGUGGUAGGGUCGGAACUGAGAGAAAGCUAUAUUUUGCAAUUGAUCGUUACCAAUAGCAACUUGAACUAAGUCCUCUGGUGAAUGAUCGAUGUGUGCCAGAUUGAAACCACCUUCUUUAUCAUUGGAAGAAGACCGCUUCGUAAAGCUAGGGCUGGAUACCUGAAUUGGAUCUUGAAUGCCCCGGUUAGGGCGCCUUGUGCGUGUGCUCUUAAUCGUUGGGCCUAGCUUAGCUCCAUUACUCAUUCUAGCUCUAGCCUCAUUGGGGAACAGGUCUGGCAAAAGGAGAAAGAACUAAGGCACACCCCAAACCGAAAUGCUCCUUACUUAUCUUAUAUUAUAGUUAUAGUAUGAUGUACGAUCAUAAGUUCCCAGAUUUCUCAUAAUAGGAAAGGAAGGGCUUUGGACUAUUAUGGUUUGAGAUUGAACUUCUCAUUCAAUGGGGAUCCAACUAAACCCCCAGGAAGGGAAGUGCCAAAGAAGAGGACUUCACCUAUCCUCCACCAAAGGCUAUAGGAGAAGGUACCUACCUUUUACUGAGGAUCCAAUUUCUUCUCGCUAACGCCCUUGUUGCCAUGCCCUCUAUCUCUCUCUUUGCUUUGGAUCGAGAAGGGUUGGCUCUGCCUCAGAUCUAUUCAGCUUCGACCAGACGACUACCGCUAAGUGAUGAAGUUUGUUUAGUGCGGAAUCUGGCAUACAGUUACCAAUCAAGUAGAAGUCAAUAGGCUCACUCAUAAAGCCCCCCGCUAGUAAGACAAGAAAACGCUUCGCUUGGUUGUCAUGUCAGGGCACUCUGGUAGGACGUGGCGUGGAGAAUUACCUGCAUUACGAGAAUGGGCUUCUCUUUUAAUGUAAUAGAAGAGUCACGGUCAAGUGAGCCCGGCUUUCUCCCUAAUCGACCUUACUCAGGGGAGUUGCAUUCAGUUAGGUAUAGGCUUUUUGACCUUGUGUUCUAUACUGGUAAGAGGCUAAUACUGGCAAAGAGUUAAGCAUUAACGUGUUUUGGGGUAUUAAUAGAAAAGAAGGCGCCCAACAAGGAGUAUGGACUUGGAUGCUUGCUGGGGAGAUCUAGAGAGAGUUCUAUAUCAACAUAGAAAUCCAAAGUAGUUCUCAGUUCUAUAUCAAAUAGAAGUUAUAAGUUCAAUAUCCAAUUAUUAUAAGUGUAAAUAUCAAAUUAAGGAAGAGUACGCACGGCUGACGCUGUUAGUUGAUCGAAUCAGAUACAGAUAGCUCUGGCUACCCCAAUUCUGAUCCACAUGAGGUAUGGCUCUGAGCGGAGUGGCUGAAGGCAUAGGUUUGCGAAAUCGACAUCAAAUAAGAUUGUAUAAUGGAUCCCUACGGAGGCGGGCGAAAUAACAUGAAAGAACAAACCUAUUCUUGGUAGAGUUCCCUGAGGACGUACAUAAGAGCACUAACCACUUUUGAGUGAAACUAGAAGCUUGUGCGCUUUAUUUGAUUGACCGGCCUGCCCAUCUUAUUUAUAGUAGCAUACCCCUAAGUAUCAUUUGUAUAGGAACGAAAGCAACACUUUGACUUUUGAAAGUAAUGGGCUACGCUUAUCCCUGACUAGUCAAGUAGUGGUAAGGUAGGUGCUGGUGCUGUGCUCUUCGAUGAAGAAAAUCUACAAUAUAUUAUAUACAAAUACAAAUAUACAAAUACUACAGAAAAUAUACAUACAUAUUAAUAGGUGAUUCAAUAGGUGAUUAAGGUAUCUAAACCAGAGCAGAGCAAAGUAUUCUCCGUUUUCUUGUGUCAGUGGUUAGAAAUCGAAAUUAGUGAACACGUCGCCUACUUUCUUUAAAAGGAAGCAAUUCUUCUUACCUAUAACCAAUAAGCCUUAUUACCUCUGUUUGUAAAAAUGGGGUUAUGGUUAUAGAAACCAUAGACUUAUCCAUUUGUAGAUGAACCUCCUUGUCGUAUUUAUUACCUCCUUGUCGUAUUUAUUACCUCGCCCGAAAAUCAUUGAAAAAUAUAGGCAUCCGGAAUACCGCUUAUCGACUGAAUCGCAUAUGGGCAAAUCGACGAGGAAUCACAGUAAAGCGCCCUAGUACCAUCACUCCCUUGCCGGAACAUUAGAAGACCAGUAAGACGUGGGUCCGCUCCUAAUCUUGAAUGGCCUCAUCAAUGACUGAAACACAGUAAUGAGUCACCUACUCUUUAUUUAGACAAGAAAGACGGCGGACAUUGAUGGCUCUAAGUCGGAUGGCCCCACUGGAGAGUGAGCGAAACGAAAAAGCAGUGCACACGCAAAAAACAUCAUUAUGGGCUUGCUUUACCUACCCUUUACUCAUCAUUCCGUUUUGGAAUCUACAAAGAUGAUGAAAUGAUUGGAUUAUUUCCGUCUUCUUGCUUGCUCUGUCUGAUACUAUGUAUGUGAAACCAGAAGAUAGUAGUUCCCCUGCGACGACAGGAAUCUCGUCCCUUCUACUCUUUGUUUAUGGUCCCCCAAAAGCAAAAGGAAAGAUUCUUCAUGAAAAUAGAAACCACCUAUGAGACGAUCCCUAGUCUAUUUCAUACAUUAUGCCUAGGUCAAAGGUAUGCCUGCUUUCUUUCUACCUAUGGGUCAAAGGUAUGCCUGCUUUCUACUUUCCACCUAGUUAAAUUCGAAGAGAGUCUAUCCACCCUAAGAUCAGAAAAGAGCCUAUUUCUCUUUUGUUUGAUUUAUGAGAAUCAGAGACAGGGUUCGAAUUCCUGUUGAGAAUGAAAUCAUGAAACUAAAUGAGAAACCUCUGAAAAAGACUUGUUUGUAUGGAGCUUGCAUACUCCCUGCGCGCGAUCGUAUACUUGAACCCUCGCUUUUGUUGGUGGUUCAGCGAUAGAUGGUAGUUUGCCUUAAUGAUGGAUAGCCUUGCCAAGGAUUCGAUUUCUUUAUCUUUUCAAAUAGAGAAGAGAUCGCAUUACGAUAGGACUGACUGCUGGCUUAGUAGUUCUUUCCCCGGGUACCAUGACAGUGCGAGCACCUUUUCCGAAAACCCAUUUAAGGAAGGGCAGGAUAGAGCAGUUUUCGGACUCAAAGUGUAUAUGGAUAGAACCUUGUCCAGAUUUCCUACUUUACAUCUCUGCAAAGAGAAAUCAAUUCAAUAAAAACAUGACCCAUAGCUACGAAAUGAAUCCAAUUAGGUCCCUUAAGAGAGAACUCAAUCUCAUGCAUCGAUGUAUUCCUUCUAGAACUAUAGUCGCCUGUCUUUUGAGUUCAGGGAGAUGGGCAUGUCUUCUUCGAAAAGGAGGUCGUGGUCAACGAUCAAAAGUGGCUUUGACUACACGAAUGGGAUAAGCAAGAAGAAUGGAAUGCUGUAAUACUGUCUUCUUUGGUUCUAAGAAAGAUAUUCAAAGACUCUCUACCCUACCGCCUGCCGACGAUGGACCUCAAUCACCAUCAUAGUAGGGCAAAGCUUGUAAACAAACACAGAUUUAGACCUUUCCUUUAGUGGAGAACCUAUUGAUGGAGACAUCGCAACAAUCAUCUUACAUUCAAUCUCAGAGAUGAUAGUGCGGACUUAUGAUGGGCAAAAGACUAAGAUCUAGAAAUAAUGAUAGGGCCGGGCCGCACCCUCUCGCCUUUUAGUUACUUUUACCGAAAUACGAGACUGACUCCUAAAUUCAGUCGUUCCUCACUAAAUAUAAGAUUUUGGAAAGAGUCAAACAGUCCCGUCCCUUUGGACUCGAAUUAGUUGUAUAUCAAAUGAGAUUGUAUAGACCCGCCAGCAAUCCAAAUUCUAUCUCAAUAUUAGCGCAAUGGUUCUUAUCCAUGGUUUGGCCAGAGCCCCACCUUUGUCUUUCUUGUUUGGGUGAGGAAAAAGCGGAUACAUAAGCAUCAGGCGAUAGUCAAAAGAGAAGGUUGUCUUUCACAGGACAUUCCAUUCAGUUAUCUAUAGCGGUGCCUAGCUUAUUUGUUGGAUAAUGCUUCUUCCUGCUUGAAAGCCCUUCAUGACUAGGUAGAGGGGAUUAAUCUAAAUAGAAACAAAUAUCAAUCUGGGAACGAUAGGAUCAAUCAAUGCAAUUGAAUUGAGGCGAGUGAAGCUAUAGGAAGGCAGUAGCAGACCAGACCCGAUUGGGAGGGAGUCUUUGCGUACGAUAGGUGGUAUAGGGUUUUUGGAAUGGAGUUCAAACGGAAAUGGCUCGAUUGAUUUGCUUACAGGAAAAAGACUAGUUUCAGAAAUCCAAUAAUUGGAACAAAUUGAGUGACAACGCAACGGACACCUUUCUUUCUCACUCAAAAGCUCAUCGUUUACCAACGAGUAUUGAGAGUAUAUACUCUUACAAAGACAGACCUGUGAUCCACUUUCGAUCUAAAGCACCCGAAUUCUACUCGCUUAUUUUAUUACUUUGAUAUGCGUUCAAUAUUCGAUUUUAUGGAAUGGAAUUAAGCUUCACUGCUCCUAUCCAUGCUUUCGAAUUCCUUUAUUACCGACCCAUCCUGGCUAUUUCUCCUAUUUGAGAUAUAACCCAUCCUGGCUAUUUCUCCUAUUUUAGAUAUAAUUAGAAUAAUGUCUUUGUUAACUUAUUAGUAUAGUCCACUCUUACCUUAGAUCAAAGAAAGUCAGACUGAGUAUUUUUCUAUACGAGACGUCGAUAAAUCCUUUGUAUAUGAAAUUAUUGUGAAUGGAAAGCGCAUACAUCGAGUAAAGAAAGACGGAAGAAUGGGGGAAAAUAGAGUACCACUACUGACUAAAGGAUUAUGAAACUCAAGAAAAAGAACCCUAAAAACAAGGGGGAACUGUCAUAAUUCAUACAAGUAACUAGCUAACGCCUGAGAUAGAGACCCCGUCUGUGACUCGUGAGAUAGACCACCCCGUCUGUGACUCGACUUCUUUUAGUAGUGUGCUCCAACUUACCCUUAUACUUCGCUCGGUUCGGUGCUUAGAAAACUCCAAUAACAUACCAAUAACAUCAAGGGUAAGCGUUAGCUUACCUUUUCUCUUCUCUUAGGGAGCGCUAGGGCAAUAAGCUAUGUUGUUUAGGUCACUUUCAUAUAUUAAUAAUGAGUGAAGUUAGUAAUUGUCGUUAAGAUUCAUUUCUUUCAAGUUGAGUGCACCUUUUGCCUAUAUGAGUGAUUAAAGGAAAAAUACAGGAGUUAUGAAAAUCAAGAGAAGAGUAUAGUAUGCUCCGCUCCGUUUUAGAAGCAGAAUAAGCGUGAUCGCGGACAGGAGAAGGGGUUAACUGACUCUGUGACUAUAACCUUAUUGAAUGGAAUCGAAACUUGUCGAGCUUCACUUGCUACCGAGAUACCAGCUAUAUACUUGCUACCGAGAUACCAGCUAUAGCUAUAUAGUCGUGGAAUUCAGAAGUUUGGAGGACGAGUAGGGUCGGUCAAAUAGGAAUUCAAUAUCAAUCAGUCAACCUGCAAUUAAGGGCAUAUCAUGAAUUCCAGAAUAUAUAUGGCAUAUCAUGGAAUAUAGUAACAAAACACUAUAAACUCACUUACUCUGUAGUUUCCAAUCCUUUUUUUCCCUGACAUAACACAUAUGUUCUAAUUGCAUAACUGGACUGUUUACUCCAACCAAUAAGCGUUAGAGCACCCCAAGAUAGAGAAUGAUAGAUUAGUUAGCGAGCGGCGAACUCACAUUGCGCUUACGGAGCACUUGUUCAUUCUAUUGUUUGUUCUUUUCUUCUGAGACUUAUGUCAGUUAUUAGAGUUUGGGCCAGUAUGUAAAGUUCACCUUUCAUUUCAUCUAUCUAGCCAUAUGAUCUUGAAUAGCUAAUCCAUCUUGUGCAUCAUCUCUAGCCUAUAAGGGAGUAAGAUGACCUCUUUAUAUACUCAAUGAGAAGCAUUCGCCAACCACUAAUUAGCUCCUAGCGCACACAACAAAAAGAAUGAACUAACGACCACAUGAUACGAAAACGUCACUCAUGUUUGUAACUAAUGCAGAUUCUAUCGUCGCAAAGACAGAUCAGAUGAAACUCCACCUUUCCCGCUUGCUGCUUCUGAUCUUGAUUCUGAUCCUGUAGUAGUUAAGGAUACGGCUGCCAAUAACAUAUUAUUCCCUUAAUAAAGCAGCAGGGGGCAGAAGCUUCUUUUUCUUCGUAGGGGUUUACAGACACAGCCGAUUCCCUAAUUGCCCCAUGCUAUACUCAAUGAGACUCUAUUCUUUCUACUGUUCCUUUUCCUUUAUACCUAACAGCCAGCUUAUUAGAUACAGACAGCACUGCCAGCUUAUUAUCGGCUUCAACUGAAAGUCAUUAUUAAGCUUCUUCCCAUUUCUGUAGGAUCAAAGUCGACAACACAAGAUUCAAGUCGCUAACUCUUUUCGGCAGUUUAGAAUUCCAUGAAACAAUUCCAUUCUUUAUCGGGGAAAUAACCAACAAUGAAAUUAUGUAUUUGGAGGCACCGGAUAUAGGCAUGAGUAAAGACACUGAACGCACAGGGACAAGCACUUCUGGACCAAUACUGGAAUCUGGAACUACACUUUCCACUGCUUCUUCAAAUGGUGUUGGAGUGGAGUAUAUCAAUUAGUAAUAUGAAAAGGAUCUAUACCCAGGCUCGCUAACAGAGCUGUUUCUUCUCAAGUCGACAACACUAAUUGACUUUGCGCUUACAGCUUCCUUUAGUACUGCUUAUUCUCCCCCACUCUUGCUUCUGCCUUUGUCCUAACCCUAUUUGGAUAGUGAAAUAAGGGUUCUUUGAUAGUGAAAGUAAGCGUUCAGCUGCCUCUGCUCUAUAUGAGUAGGUGUGUGACCUCUGUUCUAUAUGAGUAUAGUGUAUCAAACUCGUCAACUUCAUAGCUUACACUGCUUAAAGAAAUGAAUCUGUAACUUAGAAGGGGAACUCACACAUCAAUCUCUGACUCUCGGAUCCAGCUGGGUUAGUCCGAUAAUUUGUGUCGAACCUUGCUUGGGCUGGCUUGGCUCUAAGAAGAAGAUAUAGUAGAUGAAAGAGGCUCCACGCUAUAACAGUGAAAAGAUUUAGCAGGUUAAGAACUUCAAGUUUAGAAUAGGUCGGCUCAAAGGCAAGUAAGGGAUCCACCAACCAAGGUAAGAAGCAUAAGCUAGAUAAGAUUAUGUAUAAAGUGGAGUUUACUUUAGAUAAUGUCAGAAUUUCCGUUUAUAGCUUAGUCUAUAAUUCAGUGACAGGGAGUACAUUCCUUCCCUACCCGGAGACAUAGUCCGCAAGUGGUUUAAGUGCUUGUGUCUAAGGCUUCUUUAAGUAGAGUUCUAGACUAAAGUAGAGUAGAGUUCCAGUUCUCAAGUAGUCUACGAGAGAAUCAGCAAUUACUGGCUUUGAAGAAGAAGCUUUAUCAAAAUCAGAAGCAGUUUCAAGAGAAGUAGCAGAAUAUCUUACUGGCUACGCAGGGUGUUGGGCAUCAUAUCUUACUGACUUUUCAAGUUGAAGCUAGGUGUGGUCCACGUCGUCGAUUGAAGCACGGUGACACUGAAUACGAGUUAUUAAGUUCCAGAAGAGAGAGACGCCGCUCCACUCUUUUUGGUAGUGUUCCAUCCUUGUUAGCAGUGGUUUCCUUCUUUGUUUGACCUUAGACUCCUUUCUUCGAUUCUGACUUUGGAGCUUACGGACUGACGCUACACUCUUUUGGUUUGAUUCUUUGUUUCUACCUUGAUUCUUAUACCUAUGAGCUCGAUUCUACGCCUAUGGGAAAAGAAAGGCUAUCCGCCAGCACUCGCCCAUUAUGGGACUGUUGAGUUGGACUCCCUAUGGUUGGACUACCCUUUUGUAUUCCUAUUAGUCUCAUGCGCUAGUAGCUCGGACCCGACCCUUAUUCUUAUCCCCAUGGUCGAAAGACGGCAAUUGAAUAAGUAGAGGCGAGAAGUCAGCCUAAAAGCGAGGGCUGCUUUAGAUGCCUGAGAUUCCAUAAUAUAAGUUGGAAGGGAAAGUCAGUAAGUUACAGUUCCAAAGUUCUCCUGUUCCUGUUCGAGUUAUAGUGUUUUCUUAUAAGGAAUACAGUAACCAAGGAGAUAUAAAGGAAGUAGGUAACACCAAAGUGAGUUGAACCAAUUCCAAAUUCUAAAGAGAAUCACCAAAACUCGAGAAACCGAAUUCAUGCCUUGUUUUUUGUUUGUUGCUAUACACUUAACACUAAGCAACUCCACGCCAAAAAGGUCUCGAUCAAGGGCCUUCCGCCUUCUCGUGCCACAGCUCUAAUCCGAAUGGCUUCAACUAUGAACGCAAUUUCCAGUUCGAGCAAGAGCCGUUUGUUUUUCGAGAAAAUCCAGAAACUAGAAAACGGAUCGUCGUUAAGUCCGGCUUGCAGAACCGUCUUUCGGAUAACUAUAAGUGUGAGUCGGUUAGCUCCUUUUUCUGUUGCUGUAGUUGGUCGAUAAACACUCCUAUAUUUCGUAAUGAAAGACUUAAUUCAGUGAGCUUGGUACCGCCUGUUCAAGGGGUUGGAGGAGAUCAAACCCAAGAGAGGCCCGAGCACAACGUCUUCAUGAGUUAAGUGUUCCCACCUUGGGAGCUGAGAGUCAGGCCUGCAUUAGUGGAAUAUCCUUUACAGCCUUCCUUUAUCCGACCAGACAACUAUUCUAGUUCCACUUUUGAUACCGGGCAGAGCAGCUAAAGUGGCUUCAGCCUCUUUCUUUUGGCAGUUGCUUGCGAAGAAUUUGGGUAUUACUUAUCCUAGCUCAGAUAGAGCACUUGAGAGAGAAUUCGAAUAGUAGGGUUUGGAUCGUAAGCACAAUGGACUCGCUGCCUUAUCUGUCAUAUAGGAAUAUCGAUAGCGAGCAGUACCCAUCGGUUGCAGCUAUAAUCGUUUGCAGCUAGUACCCAUCGUUUGCAGCUAUAAGUAUAGAGCUCGUUCUUUUCUUACUUACCCGACGGUCGGAACUUUCAAAGGAUUCUCCCCAUCUAAAGAGCACUUCGUUCCUAAUAAAUGCAGACGGAAAGGUAGGACGGACCAGUGGAAGACUUAUGUCGAGAAGAACGUAGUGGCUUGUUGGCACAGAUGCCUUAAUUGAUCUUGUUGGCACAGAUGCCUUAAUGGAGAAUUGCAUCCAUCCAAUUAUGCACUUAAGAGAUUGACAGUCCUCCGCUCAGGCAAAGAAAAAACCGAAUCUUAUUAUACUUAUAUUGGAUCCAAAUUGAGAAUAGAACCUAAAGGUUGGUGGAUCAUGGUUCUACUAAGCGCCCUUCACCCCUGGUCCUUCUCAUAUGUCUUAUACUGGAAUGGCAUUUUUCUUAGGGUAAGUUCUUUGUCAAUAAAUUGGAUGCCCUAAGACGUAAUCAAGCCUUGCCUUUUCUUUUUGUUCUCGAUCUCUUCUCUUUAGAACUUAUAAAUAGCACGUAAGCAUGACAAAGGAUGGGAGCGGUGAUUGACCAGAAACAUUCUGUAAAAACAGAAAAGAGUAUCUUGCUGGAAUGGAUUUCAAAGAGCAAUCGUAAGGCCCACCAAUCUAACGCCGACAAGUGGUAAGACUAUCCCUCGUAAGACCGACAUUCCUCAUUCACUUCGAGGUGUGGCGCUAACUAGGCAUUCAACGAAAACGGAAUUAGUGCUUAACUGAAACUCCCCG
rnacentral:lncRNA from 1 species